UACCUUGAAUGUGAUUUGGAACGACUUCCUAAAUCUCAUUCAUACUCUGGCCAGAGAUUCUUAAUCAUAUCAUAAAGCAUUCUCCCCCAAACGGUUUGAAGGUUAGAGAUCCCUUGUUGUGCAUUCACUUGCCUCCAUGGCUAAGUGGCUUAACCCCGACCAUGCCGUGGACACCCUCCUGAUGGAGUGACUUUGACAUAAUCAAAGAUCAAGGACUUAACCACAAGACAACUAUGAUGCCUCAGGUCAAAGGACUACUUUGCAUUAUCCCAACCAUGAGUUCUCAUGUGACAUGAGUAUGAGAACUCCUCGUUGAUCGUGUUCAGUGGACUCAUUCAUUAUUGAGCACCUACAUGCUUGUCUUGAUGUCACACACACCAAUGACUCGAGACUAGUCACUCUCCCUGAGAGAAGACACAACACGUACUGAUCUUAACAGACUGUCAAUGCCCAAUUGGCAAUCCUAUGAUCAGAAACGUUUAGGAUGUGUCUACGAAAGAAUGGUCUCAUGAAUCUAUCUUCUUUAGAUCGCAUUCUCCCAAUCACAUAUUCCUUGGACUUAUCGUUUAAGCGUAUAACAUUUAUAUGAGACGGCUCAAACAAUAAUCUUUGCCCUUGAUAUUAAACUAGAUUAGUUUAACAUGUGAAAUUUCCGUAAAGUAUCAUCAUAUGAUUGGUUUUAGGGCACAUUUCCAACAGUCUGCAACUCCCUCACUCACUCUUUUUGCUCUCACUUGCAGAGAGACAAUGGCAACGACGGUCGUCGUGCCCACUCUUCUCCUUACGAGUUUCUUCUUCGCUGCUCUCCACGUCUCUUCGAAUCCAGAUGUCAAACCUUUCCUAUCAUUCAAAGCGACGUCGGACACAUCCAACAAGCUCACCACCUAGAACUCCACCUCCGUUGACCCAUGCGCCAGAACUGUCAUCAAGGGCACAGACAACCUUCUCCUCAGCCUCAAGCUUCUGGCUUCACCUUGCAGAGCACCAAUAUAUAUAUAUAUAUAUAUUCAUAUAUUUAAAAGGAGUCAUACCCACUACACUAUGCUGCACACCUUCAGAAUCAUGCUUCUGUCGGCCGCAAUGUGGAGGGUGGCUCCCAUUUUCAGCAAUAAAGAAUUGUGGCCCCCUUAGUCCGAACAGCAGCGGCAUGGAGGAUGAUUCCUUUUGAAAUUUUGGCAAUAAAGAAUUGAAGGAUCCCAAACCCAUUACAGAGAAAGCAAAAUUCCCCACUAAUUAUGUCGGGGCACUCAACCCCAAAUAAUUCAGAUGCUGGAAGAAAGGUGUCAAACACUAUCAUAUCAACCGUUGAAUCAAUGAGGGUCAAGCUUCUAUUGUGCUGUUGCAUCAGAUUCAUGCUCAUCGUGCUCGCCAGUUGAGUUUCGGAUUGUAUGGAAUGGACGAGUCACACUGCAGCUCUGGAACGGUCAUCGGAUUCAUGGGCAGGAUAUUCUAUUAUGAUGAACACAUGGAAGAGAUAUGAUCUUCUGAAGAAGUCUAUUUCUCACUAUUCUCUCAUCUUCUCUGCUCAUCGCCCAAUGCCGCACCUCCGCUGCAACUCCUCCACUUCAAACUCAUCACUCUGGCUAGUGAAGACGUUGCGGGCGUGGUAGACUUUGACGAAAGAUUGCAAAAAAAUAAAAAAUAAAAUAAAAUAAAAAAUAAAGGUGUCGACGACUUGGCAGCAGCAGCUAGUGAUCCCUUCCUCAGCAACGGCAGUGCAACAGGCAGUGCAAUGGCUGUGCUCAAUGGUUGUGCUCAGUGAUGGUAGUGGUGGAGCUUCUUCCUCUAUACCUCCACCAUGGUUGCCGCCUUUGAAUGAGAUUGACAAAACCAAAGUUUGUCAAUACACACCCAAAGACCUCCUCCGUCUCUUGCCUCACAGCUGCCAACAACUUCAAAGACCGCCAUCAAACGACUAGCCGGUCAUGAAGCCUCAACUGUAGCUCUCCGUCCGUGGCAAACAGCAAUAGCGAAGAACUUCAAUAACCGCCGUCAAACGACUAGCCGGUCAAGAAGCCUCGAUUGCAGCUCUCCGUCCGUCUUCAUCAUUCCCUGCAAAUUCCUCACCCAUCAUCAAAAUUUAUACAAAAAAUAAUAAUAAUAAUAAAUGGGAUAGUGGAGCAGAGUGGUGCUGGCACCACGUGAAAAAAAACCGGGGGGUGCAUUGGCACUGAAAGCAACCAGAAAAGAAAAAAAAAUAGUAUAAAAAAAAAGGGAGAAAGUGGAUUCUUGGUGGCUAGCACCAUGCAAAUAAAAGGGGAAAGGCUUUUGGAAUGGUGGAUCAGUCCACGUGAAAGAAAAAAAAAAAUAAUAAUAAUAAUAAUAUAUAUAUAUGUGUGUGUGUGUGUGUGUGUGUGUGUGUGUGUGUGUGUGUGUGUGUGUGUGUACAUAAUAUAUGUAUGUAUACAGCAAAAAAAAAAGAAGAAAAAAAAACAAAUGCAUUAAAAGAAAUAAAGUCCAUUUUAUUUAUUUUUUCUGGAAAUUUUACAUAAAUUUGCAUUAUACAUACCUUAAAAAAAAAAAAAGUCAAAUCAAAUUUACUGGAGGGGAUCUUCAAGGAUGAUUAGGUGGCGCCUCAUCACUCGGCAGAACUCCAGGAAGAAGAGGAGCCGGAGGUUGGUCAUUUGGAGCUUCAUUACACGGUACAGCCCCAGAAGACGAAGGCAACUAUUUUUGGAACAAACCCACAAACCUUUGAUGAUCAAGUAAAAUCUGACCAUCAGAUUCCUGCAUCUGGUCAAUCUUCCUCUUCAUGUUUGUAGCAUAGUUAUGUGCAAGUCUGUGCAAUUGUUUAUUCUCAUGCUUGAGCCCUCUAAUCUCCUGUUUGAGACUCAUCACUUCAGCCGCCAAUGAUUCAACUUGACGGGUUCGAGCAAAUAGGCGUUGGGCCAUAUUAGACACAGAACCUGUAUACUGAACACUGAGAGCCAAAGACUCCUUAACAGCCAACUCAUCAGACCGUUUGGAAAGUAGUCUAUUAUCUUUAGGAGUGACAAGGUUCCUGGCCACCACCGCAGCGGUCAUAUCAUUCUUCAUCAUCGAAUCCCCAACGGUAAGAGGACCAGUAGGGGAUAUGAAGGAUGGGCGCCAUAUGUUGUCUGGAGAAGGCAGGACUGCCUCUUCACCAAGGUUCAAAUCAAAACGACGGUCGGAGGGUCCAUACAUUUUCAAAGGUGUUGAAGAAAGAAGAGGUUGGAUGAAUCAAGAUCUUAGAAGUGCAAGAAUGGAGUUUCUACAAGCGAAAAUUCAAGUGUGCUUUGAAACGAACUGCGUGCCUCUAUAAAAAUCAGAACUCAACGGGAUUUCAGAGAUCGAAGAGGCAAGCUCAGAAUUCGAAGAGGUCAAUUCAAAAAUCGAAGAGGCAAGCUCAGAAAUCGGAGAGGCAUCUUACUUUUCCAGACACGUCAGCACCCGUCACAUGCAAACUCAGCUUUGCGAAAAUCACGGGCAAUUUGUCGAAGCGCCGAUCCCAGAUAUCGAAGAGGCGCCAGGCUUUUUCAGCCUUGUCAACACCUGUCACAUGCACACUCAGCUUAGAGGAAAUUACGGACAAUUUGUCGAAGAUUUCUGAUAAAGAAGAAAGCACGUGAAGCCAUACUGAUCAAUCACUCAAUGGUUGCCGACACAAGUGAAAGAAUAGUACCUCUACAGGUAUUAAAGAACUUCCUAUAACUGUCUACCUUCACCUUCCAUAGCAAGGCAGACUUACAGAACCUUUCUUCAUCUCUGAGAAUGCCUUCCCAGCGAAGCCUCUCGAGUCACUCAGUGUUCCUUAUUCCUUGGGGUACCUCUACAAAUAAAUGACACUAAAGAAAAAGUAUCUCAUAUCACCAGGGUAGAAAGCAAGAGCAUCUCAUAUCAUGCUUUCUCCAUGUCAUUUCCAUUGUCCUUGUUCUUACCUGUAAAGACAAUGAUAAAGAAAGCAAUAUGCCGGAACCUCCACUCAAACCCAGGUAAGGAAUUGACUACCUGGAACCUUGGCCUGGUUGCUUACAUGGUAUCGCCCUCAGUACUCGUCUUCCACUGCUGCUGUACUUCCAAAGAAGUUGCCAUAUCUGCUUGAAGAACAAAUAAGGCGAGUGAAAAUGAUACCUUGCAGCAUGUGGAGACAACGUGCAGAAGAAACAAGCAGAGAAGAAUGCAGCCUGCACAGACAACUCAGCAGAAGGAGUCUGAGUUGAGGAACUCGAGGAGAUGCCACAUUUGCCUGGAGAACAGAUAAAGCAAGUGAAAAUGAUACAUUGAAGCAUGUGGAGACAACGUGCUGAUUUCUUUCAAAAUCAAGUCUCCCCUUCCCUGCACAAUCGACCAACCCAGCAGAAGGAAUAUGAGUUGAAUCCAAGAGCUCAAGAAGCUUCAACAACAUAUUGACGGAACAAGGAGGAAAAAAGCAAUCAGCCAGCACUUGGUGUCAAACUCCCAGUCAGGAACCGACUGCUUGGAACCCUUCCCUGAUUGCUUACCUAGCACUACUCUCGAAGUACCCAUUAUCUCAACAUCUUAUGCUUCCAGACAAGAUACCACAUCUGCCCGAAGAACAGAUAAGGCAAGGGAAAAUGAUACAUUGAAGCAUGUGGAGACAAGCACAACAAAGCACGUGCCGAUUCAUCUGCUACUUCUUCAAAAUCAAAAGUAUCUCAUAUCAUCAGGGUUGCAAUCACUCUGGGUAGUGGACUCAUUUUGACCCUCAAAUUCUUAGGUAGACUUUCUAGGCAUUAUGAGCUGCACGUGCCAAUUCACCACCCUUGAAUCAAAUCCUUAAAGAUCAAGUCACCGACUGGAAGAAGAGCCCAUCAAUCUUGAAGAUCAUACCGUUGACCAAACUGUUCAUGUGUGAAUUAGAAGGAUUGAACAAACCAACAAGUCGUCACCUCACCUCGUGCCUGCUUGCCAUGUGUUCAAGUCAACCUUCAAGAAUCAAGCCUCAACGGCCCUUGAAGAAGCUUCCAGCCAAAUUCAAGAUCAAGCCUCAACGGCCCUUGAGGAAAUCACAAGUCCGAUUCAAGAUCAAGUGUCUACCACCCUUGAAUCAAAUCCAGUUCAAGAAUAAGCUGUGGAAAGUCAACAAUUUGAGGAAACCAGAAAAUCCUCCAACCUAGUUCAAGAAUAAGCUUGUGGAAAGUCAACAAUUGGAGGAAUCCAGAAAAUCCUCCAACUCAGUUCAAGAUCAAAGCUGUGGAAAGUCAACAAGCGCAACAAAAUAUGUGUCGAUUCAUCCACUACCAAAACCAAAGAUCAUCUACCACAUGAAGCUCCUUGUGGUCCAAUUUUAACCUCAAGAUCAAGCCUCGACGGCCAUUGAAGACUUUUUCAGCCCAAUUUAAGGUCAAGCCUCAAUGGCCCUUGAAAAAAUCUCUAGCCCAAUUCAAGAUCAAGCCUUGAUGGCCCUUGGAUCGACAUCUACAAGAAGGGACUUCAAAACACAUCCCCUACACAUGACAAGCACAUGUAUACGACGCGUCUUGAAGUGGAGGCAUUUGUAGACAUCGAAAUUUCGGUAAAUAAAUGUUGACCGAUAAAUCAAAGUUUCAACGCUCAUGUAUUACAUAAAUUUUAUACGUAGCGUGUGUCUAAACAAAAAAUCGAGAAUCAUCGAAACAGUCAUCAAACAGGACACGUGUCAACACCUGGCAGAAACGACUUAUUUCAUCUGGAAUAUUAUAUUCAAAAUUAGGCCUUGGAAAAUUCUAUAAAUAGAAGCCAAUUUCAUUCAUUUCAUUUGACCAAUUCAUAUUACACCAAAACCUUGAAGCUCUGAAACUCUGAAACUCCGAAGCUCUCAAGCAUCCGGGUUCUCGAAGAAUCAAGAAAGCCUUUUUCGUUCUUCGUUCAUCAUUCUUCCAAGAUCAAGCCCCGACGGCCCUUGGAUCAACAAUCAUCCACCUUCAAGAUCAAGCCCCGACGGCCCUUGAAGAAAGUGUUCAUCGUUCAUCAUCCGUUCGUCCUAAGAUCAAGCCCCAACGACCCUUUGGAUCAACAACGUCGACAAAUCCACACAUCCAACCGUCCUUCAAGAUCCAAGCCCAAAAGCCCCUUGAAGAUCCGUUCAUCACUGUUCUUCAAGAUCAAGCCCAAAAGCCCCUUGAAGAUUCGUUCAUCACCGUUAUUCAAGAUCAAGCCCAAAAGGCCCUUGAAGAUCCGUUCAUCACUGUUCUUCAAGAUCAAGCCCCAACGGCUCCUUGAAGAUCCGCUCAAAUCCACCUUCAAGAUCAAGCCCACAGUCGUUGAAGAACGUUCAUCCUUAGAUUAAGCCCAACGACCAUUUGGAUCAAUCGCACAUCCACAAAUCAACACCUUACCGAGAUCGAAUCAGAGGAUCAAAUUUGAGAGAGAUUGUAACCCAAAAUCAUCAAAUACAAAUAUUAUUUUGUACACGUGUUCUUGUCUUUUUCGUUUCAGGAAUAUUUCGUGUUUACAUAUAUAUAUAUAUAUAUAUAUAUAAUGUGGCAUAAAAAUGCAUAAGCUGUAACGCCCUACUCCUGAAUUAUUAAUUUUCAGGAAUAAUUAUAGGUGACAAGCCCAACUAGACACUAGUUUAAUUAAUUAUCAUUAGUUACGUUUCCUUACCUCCAAUUCUUGAUUCUUUACACAUUGAUUUAUGACCAACAUUAACAACCAAUUCAUAAGAUUAAAUCUCACCUUUUAACCAAAUUCCUUCACCUUGCCUAGUUCCCCAAACAAGGCUUUGUCUCAAUUGUUUAAUCUCAAUUAUUGUAUGACUGCAUCUAAUGUCUUGUUAGAUUGCCUAAGUACCCUAAACAGGGAUCAAGCCAUUCGUAGUUUGCAUAAGUACUUCAAAGUAUUCACAGUAGUUACAUGCAAGAAUCAAUUUAUAAACGUUCGUGGAUUUGUCAAUCAUAUAUAUAUAUAUAUAUAUAUAUGAUAAGAAGGAAAAGAUCCACUCACCUUGAGUCUGUGCUACAAUUUCCUAGCACAACCAUCAAGGCGUCCCGAACGAUCGGCGCCUAAGACAAUUAUCAAACCACAUCUCAGAAUUCUUAUUAAUAGAUCAUGUAAUUUACGUAAAACACAUCCCUAAAAACGUUUUAGAGUGAUUUAAGCCCCGUUGACCAAAAGUCGAUCGUCAGUCAACGAUCGACGGUAGGGUCCACAACUCUAUGUAAUUCAAUCUGAAAGAUCCACUCCUUGGAUUUCCGAUCAAUAACUUCCAAAUAUCCACAUUAUGCUUCUAAAACAUUAUCCUAAAAUUUCAUUAUGAUCUAACGGUUGGAUCUCCGCCAAUAGUCAAAACAAAGUGGCGGUUAACGUUUAUUUUUUGAACUUACAAUUCCAUUUUGGGAAGAUCCGUAUAUUGGAUUUCCGAUCCGUUAGUCCCUAUGAUUCUCAAAUAUUAUGUACUAUAACAUAUUAAAGUUUGGUGACGAUCCCACGGUUGGAUGGUCGUUUCAUAUUUUUACCAAUUAACGCACCUUAAUUAAACUAGGUUCCCAUAAUCAAGUCAUAAUAUAUAGACAUCAAAUCUAAAAUCAAGAUAUCAAUUUAACAUAAAAUGACAUUGCCGGCCCACAGGCCACGCGCCACUGCCGGUGGCGGUCGACGGCCUCGACUCGCCAGAAAAUCCAACUAUUUCUAAAAAUUCUCAAAUUUCACAGAAAUGAAGAUCUCAACAAGUGGAGCAACUUCCAUACUUUUGACUAAGGUCAAUUUGGCCGAGAAACACCUCAAAUCACCAUGAACCGUACGGAACCCUUGAAUUUGGGUGUGCUUAAUUCGACCUUAAACGAACUUCGACGCCCCAAGACUUGUUUGGGCUUUAUUCCAGACCUCAAGAGGAUGCUAUAGGUGGUGGUAAUUGGUGAAAAUCCUUUCAAUAAUGGGAGAAUUGACGACAAGGGUUUCCCGCACCCACCGGUGCGGUUUUCAUACCUUCAAGGCUAAAUUUCUACAAUUUUGGGUUGUAAUGGGUAGAGGGAAGGUCGUGGAACAUUUUCCAGGGGGUUAGAUAAUGUGGUUCGUUGGAAAAACCGACGAAAAACCACCAGAGAAGAUGAAAAGGACCGGGUUGGGUCCCCCACACUUAGCUUUUGCUAGUCCUCGAGCAAAACAAGACAAACAAAACAAACAAAACAUAACCUAAACCAUCCAACGUUUGUCUCAGGGAUUCCCAAUGGAACAUAACAUGUUAAAAAUCACUACUCACGUACAUUUUAGCCAUCCCUACCCUCAAGCGCAUACUUAAUCACAAUCACCACUCACUAGCUCGCAUUUAAUCAAUUUAAAACAUGGUUUUGAUGGUAGACAUGCCUUAGAGAAUUCCCUCAAUUCCUCACUGGAUAUACUCUCUAUUUUCACACAUAUUUUCUAACUACACUCCCUAUACUAGGUAUAUGUGAGAAGAUUGAUGUAAACAUGUAGACUAGCCACUCACAUAUGUUAUAAUCGAAGAAGGCAAUUUCUGGAAUUAUCAAUGCAUGUAUAUAUAUGAUCUCAUGAAUGGAAUGCACUACUUAGACGAGAGAACCAGGCAUACCAUAUGCUCAUACCAAUCCUAAACUCCACAUAUUGAAACACACAGCAACCAAAAUAAGUCAAAGGGUUGUAAUAGGGCUAAGGGUAUUGGCUAACAAAAAAAGGUUAAGGAUAAACAAAGGUUCUUAAAGCAAUAGUAAGCAAAGUAAUGAAAUCAACUUAGAAUUCACUCUUGAAUGCAGAACUUGAAACACUAAGGGGAUUUCGUACAACUUAGGGUCAUAUUCUAACUUUUUGGACCCUUUCUUCAACAACCAAUACUUGUGAGCUCAUUCUCACUUUCCUUCUUUUUCCAUUUUUUCUUCUUUUUCACGUUUUUUUUUUCUUUCUACUCCUGUACAUAACCUUCCCCCACACUUGAUUUCUGUAAUAUGUUUGAUCAAAAGGAAUUCCCUCUAAGUCAUGCUCCACUAUACUUUAAGAACAAGGGUAUGGAUAGUCCUAUUCUAGGCUAGAUCAGGGUAAUGUGGCUAACAACGAAAAUAGGCUAAAUAAGGCUCAAAGGGUGUUAAACCUACAAUACAUAUGCAAGGGAUUAAGGCUUUUUGGCUUUGGUGGUAACUACUAAACGACUUCAUCUUGUUAUAUGUUAUGCACUCAAUUUUAAGUUUUGAAUGAAACGGGCAUGAGUUCUAAUAUUUGGAACUAAAGUGAUAAAACGCAUUCUAAGUAGCAACCAAGAAAAGAAUAAUGAGAUCAUGCAACGACUUUAGAAAACAAGAAAUCACAGAUAAAUAACUCUCCAAACAAAGUUUAGGCUCAAGUCUCUUAGGGUUGUAGCGUUAGUUUGAGUUCAUUCUUUCAACCAUGUUACAAAAACUGAUUUAUUUUUUCUUUUCUUCUUUGUGAUUAUGUGUGAAUUCAUUAAUAACAACUACAACCAAGCAUAAACCAAAAAUCAUAUCAAACUUCCACCCAUGUUUGUAACUUUCUUUAACAGUCAUGCAAUUAAAAACCAGAUCCUUAUCAUUGUGUUGGAAGGUACCCUAAAACACAAACACACAAAAAUGACUCUAAAACGACUAUUUUUUUGGUUUUUCAAAACUUUUUCUAUUUUUUUUCUUUUCAAAUUUUCGUAUUUUCCUUUCAAAACACACUAAAAACACUUAAAAACAGUGAGAAACAACUCUAGUGGUGCUAGGUGAUAAAAACCCAUGAAUUUUCAAUAAAAACACUGGUUUACCCCCCCCAACACUUAAACAAAACAUUGUCCUGAAUGUUUUAAACAUAAACUCACAUAAGCAAGCAAACAACACAACUAACAAUCACGACAAUUAUGGCAAAGUAAAAGCAAUAAAGAGUAGAGUUUAAGAACGCAAAUCUGGUUAUGGAGUCGGAGCUUCCUAGUUAUUCUUUAUUCGCAUGGGUUGCCUCCCAAGAAGUGCUUGCUUUAACGUCUUCCAGCCGGAUGAAAUCUCUUCUUAAGCUGUAUUGGACCCCACAGUAUGGAGGGGUACAUCCUCCACGACAUUUCCCUCGAAACACUUCAUGCUUUGGAUCUUUGAACUGAAGGGGAUAAUGAUCCUUCCUGAUUGUGGUGUUUUUCUUUCUUAAGUCAAUGUGAACUCACCUACCACCUUGAAUUCGAUUAGGUACAUUCACCAAAGGAGGUAAUAACCUAUUAGUUGAAAUGGGAAUGGGAAUUGGCGUAGGUGACUUACCAAUGUAUUGCAAUGAAAUGGCAGCACUAUCAGCAGGUGCACAAGGGAUUCUCUCGGCCAGAUUUGGUGGUAUGAGGGUUGGGGUAUGUCCCUUAUGCUUUACUCCAAUUCUGCCUCUGAACUUCAACUAGGUGGAUUAGGUUCUGGUUGUUUCCUCUUUCUUCUCAAAGUUCGUUCAAAAUCGUCGUCGAACUCCAAGAUCUUUGCACUAAUAGGUUAAGAACUACGAGUCAUAAACUAGUACCUGAAACAAGAAACAAAAACAAAUAAGCAACCAGGUAGAGGGUACGACAAAAACACACAAAACCACACUGUGACACUUAAAAGAAAACACAAAGACACGACACAAACAAGGGAUUAGCAAAUUUGCUAAUCCCCGACAACAGCGCCAAAAUUUGAUGUGAAAUAUUCUAACACACAAAUUAAACCCUAUUAAGAUAGUUGUAGUAUAUGAAAGUAGGGAUCGUUCUAGGUCGGGGAUUAAUUAGGGCUGCUAAUCUACACAAAUUGACUCAAAAACACAAACUUAGACUUAAAAACACUUAACUAGACUCAAAGAACUCAAAAUAGCACAAAACAAUCAAAUAGACUCAAACUAGACACUAGAAGGUGAAUUGGACGAAAAUUGAUUUUAACUUGACUCAAAACACUUAAAAACACAAAUUGGACAGAUUCAAACUAACUUGACACAGCAAAAUAAAGGGGAUUGGGUUUUUGACGAAUUUAAAGUAAAGACAAUUAAAUAAAAACUUAGACAGAUUAGACACGAAUUUGGGGGAAAUAUGGGUGAUUGGCUAGCUAGAGGGUUCUUCUCCACACAUGACACACUUGCAUACAAAUUGAUUUCCAGUUGCUUUUCCAAUAAACCAUGAACCUCAACGCCCCAGAUUAACCGUGAAAAGCACUAAUUAACCCUCAGAUUUUCCUUAAGUCAUCGAAUUCGAUGGACAACGCAUCGGCAACCAAAUUAUUCUUCAAUAGUUCCCUACAUGACAGCAUAAUAGAGAUACAAUCAAAGAUCAUUAAGCUUUGUGAAAAUCAUAAGCAUUAACAAGGCAUUCGUAACUACGAACAGCAUGAUACUCCUACCAGGAAUUCACUUAACGCGAUCGUGACUAGCAACCUCCACUACUUAUAAAUAUAAGUUCAUAACGAUUAGGUGAAACUCUCUUAUAUUUUAGCAUCAAAUCCCUGCAUGCAAACUAAGUGUGCACCCUUAAUCAACAAACAAGAAUAAGUUCUUAAUCAAACAAUUAAGUAAAUUGCAUUCACGAUUCAUGAAAUCACAACUGGAAGUAAUCAAUUCAUAUUGCAAAUAUGUUCAUGGCUUUGAAUUUCCCCUAGCUAAAACAAGUUUAGCUCCUUAUGUUCGCAAUUAAACAAAGACAAUUAAAUUUAAACAUUAAAACAAUGGAUAGAAUGCACCUAGAAAUGCUCCAACAAUCCAACGUCAUGAAUGGCAAGCACGGCUCCAAGGGUCUCCUCUCCUUUCUCCUUGCAAAUCUACGGCAUAAUGGGAUGAAUGUGUAUGGGUGUAUAUGGCACGAAUUUGUAGUGAAUGGUGGUAGAGGUUGGUGAUCUGAAUGAAUGUUGCAGCAAUUAUAUUUAUAGGGAGAAAAGGCAUGGCCUAGGCUGUCAAGGAGAAGGAUUGGCACUCCAAAUCCACAAGGAAUAGGUUAAAACAAUCAGAAACCAAAGCGAAUUAGGCUUACACAUAAAAAACCAUCAGGAACAAGUAUAUAAGGUGCGGCACCACUAGGAAAAUGGGUUAUAGAUGGGGUUGGGGCGCCACUUUUGUAGGGAGAGGAGACAAGGCUUCUAGAAUCUGAAAUAUGUAUUUUAAAUGCAUAAUUAUCCCUUAUAAAUGGCUGGAAUUAAGGCACAAAUUGAUUUGGAUAGGAUAAGAUUAGAUAAUGCUAGAUUAGGAAAGGAUAAGAUAAGGUUAGUUUGGAUAAGAUAAGGUUGGAUAAGGUUUUGGAUAAUGACUCAUUCUUUUGAGUUGAUUCCUUAUCUUCUUUGUCUUGGAUUUAUUUUCUUCAUCUUUUCAGCACAUUCCUAGCCUUUUGAACUUCAAAUUCGUCCAUCCAUCUUGCUCCAUAUGUAAGCUAUCCAUUUGAUGCCAAAAUGCUCCAAAAUACACUUUCUUGCCAACUUUGUCAAUUGGACCUACAAACACACACGAACUAACUAAGAAAAUGCAAGAAAACAAGCUAACUAAGUCGCAUAAAUAUGCUCCUAUCAUUGAGUCAGAAAUUGGAACCGGGCCGAAGGGAUCCCCCGCUCCCUUCUUCUCUCCUUUUUCCUCCUUUCGUUUGUUUCUGAUUAAGCCAUCCUAACUCUCUCCUCUCUGUGUUAGUCACACACUUCCUCUCAGUUUUCUUGUCUUCUUUCCUUUACAUCACCACCAUCCAUUCCUCAUUUCCUUUAAUCUGGGCCACCCACGUGGCACUCUAGAUUUUCCCCUCAACAAAAUCUGAAAUUAAUUAAUUUACUAAAAUGUCCUUAACUUUAAAGGUUAAUAACUCUUUCAUUAUAGCUCCAAAUCACGUCCCAUUUGCACCCACAUGUUCGUAGCGACGAGUAAAACGAGAAUACACCAAGAAGAUGAGUCUCACAUGACAUGACACGAUAGUCAACACUUUGCCUCGAAGGGCAUCUUCAUAAACUCACGUAUUAAAAUUAUGAAAUCAUCAUUUUUAGGGACGGGCUGUUACACAGAGCAUCUAUACCUAUACUCAUCAAUUCUGAUGGUCGUCUUCUUGCUUCUGAUAACAAUCUUUUUUAUUGAAUAUGGUCAGAGGCUGGUGCCCCGAGGGACGACUGGGAUAUAUACCACUUCCCUUCCCUUCAUGGCAAUAUGAAUAACAAAAAGCUUGUACAGGUUGGAGUUUUAGGGUUAUGAACUUUGGGCAUACGUUUGGCAGGAGUAGACAAUCCCGGUGUGGUAUGAGUUGAAUAACUUCCUGGAAUUCAUUAAAAAUGCUAAUUUCAUCUCUGAUCUUAUAUUCAAAGUUAUUCUAUCUAAUUUUUCGUCAACUUAACCCACGUGACACAUUUUAGAGGGUAAUACUGUCAUUUUACACCUAUAAACCUCUAAUGCUGCAUAUAGGUUGCAAAUCUAACUUCUAAUUUAUCCUCCAAAGUUAACUUCAUACACAUGUUUUCUUUCUUUUCUUUUUUUUUUUUAAAGAAAGAAAGUCCUCAAAACACAUGGGAAAGUACCAAUCUAUCCACAUACAAGUCACAUGAAUUAAAUUGACAAAAAAAAUUGAAUAGAUAGCUUUAAAUUUAAUAUUAGGGUUGAAAUUGAUAGAUUUUAAUUAGUUUAAGGACUGAUUUUUCCAAACAAUAAUACUGGGGUAAUAAUUCAGAGAAAUCGGCACAAUACUCCUGGAAAUAAUGUGUUUGUGUAUUUUAUGAAGCUUAGUAAUUGUCUAACAUGGUAUGAAAAGGCUGGCAUGAAAUGUGUGCCUAACCCUUUGUCAUUACCGCUGAACCUUGGAUGUUGGAAACAGAACAGUUCCAUUUCUCACAAUUUUGAAAUGUGAUCAUGUACGUAAUUGUAAACGUGAUCUUAUAAGUCUCCAUUACAUUUUAAGAGAAAUGAUUUUAGCACGCCCGAAGAGGUUUCACUAACAAAACGAAAAGAAAUCCGGAUGUAUUCCUAGUCCUUUUGGGACAGAGCAAUCUUGUCGUUUGACUUUUAGAAUUAUAGUACCAGUUGAAAUUAACUCUUUAAAUUAUUUUUUGGUAAGUCAAGUACUUGCACUUUUUUGGAAAAGGAAAUUAGCCAAUUAACCCCUUGCCUUUACGUUCCAUCUACUUACCGUCAAAAUGAAGGACAAAUUAACCUUUUCAUAGUAUAUUCUUACAUGUCAUUUACAACCACCAAUAACAAUAUUCUUACAUGGAAACACAUGGACAUGUUAUUAAAGUUUAAGGAGUCAAACCAUAGCUUCCUUUUUUCUCUUUUCUGUUAAUGUGUAAUAAUAAUUUGAACCCAAAAAUAAUUAUCAAAUUGACAUCUGAAAUCAUAAUUUGAACUCACGAAAGCAAUCGGGCAAAAAGCAGAUCCUUCCCCCAUGACAAAAUCAUCUUCAUGCGCCUUCCAUAGAGCUCGUAUCAAUUCCUUCCCCCUCAAACCUUGACAUGUGAACUCUGCAAACGCUCUUCUGCUUAAAAAAAGUGUCUUGUACAUGCCGUUAAAAGCUCGCAUUGCUGCAACCAUCUUAUCCAUAUUUCCAAAAUACUUUGCUAUAUAUGAAUCGCUGUUAAUAAACACGUAGUAAUCCAAGGCCGCUUUCGUGUUCCCAUGCAUGCUUUUGAAAUCCUCGCCGCUGAGAAGGCUAGACUUGGUAACUACAUUUGUGUAAACGGAUGUUAACCCUUCAAUUUCCAUCAGACCGUCCCCAGCUGCCAGAUAAAUGUUUGUGUUUGUUGGGAUGGAAAGCACUUUGAGUUUGAAGGCUGUCUCGUUAGGCGUAAGAGGACAUUUUCCUCGUUUCCUCCAAAUCUGGGCAAGCUCUCCAGUCCAUGGUUUUCUAUCUCCGCGCGCAUCCUCAAUAGCAUCAAUGGAGGAAGGAGAAAGGUAGGGGUAUUCACUGAUGUGAAAUAUUCUAACACUUAAAUUAAAACCCUAUGAUUGUAGUAUAUGUAAGUAGGGAUCGUUUUAUGCCGGGGAUUAGAAGGGCUGCUAAUCUACACAAAUUAAACUCUAAAACACUAAACUAGACUCAAAAACACAAAACUAGACACUUAAGAAUUAAAAUUGACUCAAAUUACUCAAAACAGCACAACUAAGUGAAAUUGACUCAAAACUGACUCUAGGGAGUUAAUUGGACAAAUUUCAGACUACUAAGACUCAAAACACUAAAUCGGACAGAUUUGAACACUUUUCUAACUAAUCUAACACACUUAAUUAAAGAGGGAUUGAUUUAGAAGAAAUUAAUCAAACUAGACAGAUUGCAAAACAAAGUAAACUAGAUAUGAAAUUAGGUGAAUUCAAGGGUGAAAAACUAGUUAGAGGGUCCUUCUCCACACAUGAACAUAUGCAACAUAAAUCAAUUUCCAGUAUUGUUUCUUUAAACCAUGAAUGACAAUGCCCCAAAUUAAUUGUGAAUGCACUAAUUAACCUUCAGAUUUCCCUAAAUUCAUUGAAUUGAAUGGACAACGCAUCGCAACCAAAUUAUUCUCAUCAAGUUCCCUAUAUGAACAACAUGAUAGAGAUACAUUCAAAGAUCAUUAAGUUCCAUGGAAAUCAUAAGCAUUGACAAGGCUAUCGUAACUAUGAAUUGCAUGACACUGCAACCAAGAAUCUACUUAACAUGAUUGUGACUAGCAAUCUUCACUACUUUUAAUUAUAAGUUCCUAACGAUUAGGUGAAAGUCCCUCAUAAUUUAGCAUCAGAUUCAUGUAUGCAAACUAAGUGUGCACCCUUAAUCAACAAACAAGAAUAAGUUCUCAAUCAAAUAGAUAAGUAAAUCACAUUCAUGUUUUACGAAAUAAAAACUGAAAGUAAUCAAUUCAUAUUAAACAUAUGUCCAUGGCUUUGAAUUCACCUCUAACUAAAAAGGAAUCAGUUCCACAUGUUCAUAACAAUUGAAAAGCAACAGAAAAUAAACAUGGAAACGAAACGAGGGAAGAAAGAACUCUUAGAACUCCCAAGGAUGCAGGUGGCUUGCGCACAAGGUUCUUGCUCCAAUGGAAGGCACGGCAAAGGCUCAUUCUUCUCCAGAAUUGCAGCAAAAGGUUGUGGAAUGGCGUGGAUUGCGGCUGAGGGGGUUUUAGAAUUAUAUGGGGGGUGGUUCGUCAAAUUUGUGGCUGAAAUUAUAUAUUUAUAGGCUAGGGUUUGCCCGAAUUUCUGGAGGAAAAGGCUUAGGGUUUUCGCACAAGGCUUGCCCCAAUCCAAGGGGGAAAUAACUAUGGUUUCUGGCAGAUUUUUAGGAUUUUUAGAAGGGUUUGAGGCACCACUUUUGUAGGACUUCUAUAAAGAGUGUGUAGUGGCUGAUUUCUGACCUUCUAGAAGGGUUUGGGGCGCCAUCUUUUUAGGGCUUCUAGAAAGGUGGGUGCGGCACAUGUAUAAAAGAAGAUAUAGGCCUUCUAGAAGGGUUUUAGGUCCCCUUGCAGCUGAUUACUCAUCUUCCAAGUCUGGAAUUAAUUUCUCCAUCUCUUUAACACAUUCCUCGCUUCAUUUGAUCUUCAAAAACAUCUAUUCCUUGUGCUCCACAUACAUGCAAUCCAUUUUAGCCCAAAAUUGCUCUAAAAUGCUUCAAAAUGCACUUUCUUGCCAACUUUGCCAAUUAGACCUACAAACAAACGAAAAUAGCUUAAAUCACUAUAAUAAACACAAACUAAUUAUGAAAAUGCAAGAAAACAAGCUAACUAAGUCGCAUCAAUAUGCUCUUAUCAUUCACAUUGACUGUAAGCUACCUUAUCAGGCUCAAAACGAAGAUGCAGAGAGAGGGAUAGUUUGGGUAUGGCUUCAAGAAGCUUAGAAGGUUUCUUCUUCACGGAUUUGGUGAGGCGUAAUGCACUGUAGCAAGCUUGACAAAGGGAAGCUUUUGCAUACUGAGGAUACCUACACAAGCCAGAAGAUAUCUUAAGAUUAGCAAAUUGUUUGAUCAAAACGCCAAGCCUGUAGGUUUUAGUGAUCAAACUUCUCGGACUUGUUUACACAGUGAAGGGCAAAAACAUAAGGGCUUGUUUUGUUAGGAUCCAGAAAUAAACUUUUGUUCUAAAAACCAAGGGAUACAUGAAAUCUACAAAAAUGUGUUGGCAGACUGCAUUUAUAAAAGAUUUCGACAUGCAAUCUUGAAAGCAAAAUAAAGACGUUUACGACAAUUUCUAAAAGACUGCACCAAAGAACUUAAACACCAACAUCAAAUAAGAAGUCCCCGGCCCCAAAUAUUGAACCCGGUCAAAAGCCUUUGGGGAACACAUGGACACAAGAAUUAAACCCUGGCCCCCAAACCCCACACUGCACUAUAGACCUCCGACUAUGCCCGAGCCACAAACUCCUCACUUAGGCUGCGAAUCCCAGAUUCCAGCUUACAGUAGAUGUGGGGUACUUUAAACAAUUUAGUACAUUCAUAUAUUCAACAAUGGGUAUAUUAAGUACCCUCUAAAAUUAACCAAACCCCAAACCUGAGACCUCGGCUCCAAGCGCCUACCCCAAACACAAGUCGUACCUCAGCUGUGAGUCCUCAAGGCCCAAAUUUGGACCUGGUUUUCAAGCCUAAGAAACCAAACUUAGUUCACAUGCCAAGGGACUCUAGAGUAUAGACCUAGUCCACGAGCCACAGAUGCCAAACCUCUGAUCUAAACCUAAAACCUAAGUCACACACCACUGUCCCAAACUGCCCCAAACCCAAGCCUUUAGUCUAACCCUAAAUCCUAUGAUCUGAGCUCCAAGGCCCAGCCCUAUGGUUGAAGCUUAUACCAACUGGAUUAUUAUAAUUCUGAAAUCCCAAUGACUCAUAUUCAAUACAUAACUUGUUUCCAGAUGUUAACAACCAAAUAUUUCUAGAUGGUAUCUUAGUUUUUGAUACUUUCUUUCUGAUCAUGAACCAAACAAGCUCAAAAACAUUCACAGAACUAAUCAACUUUGAAAUCCAAAUCUUUGGACAACAAGAUACUAAACAAGAAACACAUAAUAACAAACCCUUAUUUUCUAAUGGCCUUUAGGUUUACAAACUAAGCUACACUUUUUAGUUUUACUUUUACACCUUGAUGAUAAAGCUUUAGGCCACAUGUACUGGCCUUCACCACUAAGUUGGUAGAUAUCCACAGCAACAAUUCUUCGUAUGUAAUUGCGAACUCAUAGAAAAAAAAACACACGUAUUUAAAUACCUAUCCCUUAUUUGCCUCAUCGUUGGUGUAAUUGAAAUAUAAUGAUGCUCUAAUAGGGCCGGAAGAACAGUUUCUAUAUAACCAAAUUGGCCCUUGCGUUUGCUACAAUCAACAUGGACAAGUUUUUUGAAGCAAUCUCUGAUGGCAGCUCUUUCGCAACUUUGAUGAAGCCAUCCAACUGUUGAAAGAAGUAAAUGGAGAUAUUGUUUGCACAAACAAAAAAAUAAAAAAAAAGCUGUUAAUUCUUCUAAAUAAACAAAAACUAAACAUUAAAGGAGGUCCAUAUUCAAAAUUAUGAGAAUCACGGGCAGUUAUAUUCUAGCUGUCGUAUGGUAAACGACAAAUUACCUUGAUUCAUUCCAAUAAGCAGCCACCUCAAACUUUGGCAAAACCAGGGUUGUACUUAAAAGAUGAGCAAUACCAACACCGUCACAUAACUGCACUCCACAUAAAUAAUUUUUCAUGCUAAGUAAAGUGGUAACUUAAAAUCGAGCAUUUACAAGCAAUAACAAAGUUUCUUCAAUCACUCACAUCUCUUCUCGUUUAAUUAAGGCCCCCGUAGCAAUCCACUUGAAUGAAUCCAUUACUCUUUGAUGGAAGAGCUGCAGAAAACCAAUGCACUUGUCUGCAAUGAAGUAACUUCAACCCAAUCCUAAUUCUAUUCCCACCACACACAAAUACAAUAUACAUGUGAAAAUCUUUUGGCGACCACAUUUUCACAUGACAAACAAAUGCCAAAUAAAAUCUAUGAAACUAAACACUUCUCAAUACCUGAAAUACCACAAAUCGUUCUGGGGUAACAUUUCAACUAUUUUAAUUUCGAAAUGCAUAUAUUGGUUCCUUAUGCUAGUUUCUCAAUGUUCAAUUCAAAAGCGCAACUUCCCACGGUUUUCCGAACAAUCCUAAAUUCUAAAUAACCCAAUGGCGGGCGAACAUAGACAAUUAUAUAGCUAAGAUAGGCAAAUACCAGUGAGGUGUCCUUGUAGCCACUACAUGCAAAGUCUCCAUUCAACCAUCCUCCCAACACUCCAUAUAUCCAAUUUGCUCCUGCAUUCACAAAUUCAAUCAAAAACCCAUACUUUACGUAGUUUUUCGUCCCCAAAGAACCGCAAAUCAACACUUCAAACUAGGCCCAAAUCACAUUGUAAUUCUCGUUUCUUAGAUUUUAACAUCAACACAACUCAGACACCAUAAAAAAUGCCAAACCCAAGGAAACAAAAUCCCCCUUUAAUACAAAAAAACAUGGAAGAACUUGGAAUCUACUUCAUUCUCAUAUAUGUGUAUAUAUACACACAUACACACACAUAUAUUACAUAUAAGGAAACUCUUCAAGAUCUAAAAUUCCUGCUAUUUUGUACCAGUAAAACCAGUCAAAAAAUUAAUGAUAUGAAAGUAAAAGAAAGGCAAGAAUAAGUAGUUGGAAAAAGAGGUAAGGAACACAUACAUGGGUGAAUUGAGAAGGAGAGGGUUUUAGUAGAAAGGGAAAGUGGGCGAUAAGAGAAAGACAACGAGGACGAGAAAGAGGGUGAGGACUCCUAUGCUGAAUACAGGCUUCAAUGAAAUUGCCACCAUUUCAUUUCUCAGCUCUGCUGAUUCGAUUUGGAUAUCGGGUUAAUGGCACUCAGAAAAAAGAGCGAAGAAGAAGAAGCACAUUGGUUUUUGCCUGCUUCGUAUUGUUGUAAGAUCGAGAGAUGACAAAUCCCAUUUUCUAGGGUGCGGACCGAGUUUUGCAGUCCAUUUGUGUGGACAAACAUAGGUAGACCCGAUCUGCCAGUUCAGAGUCCUGGACAAGAAAUGUCACAUGCGUGAAAUCCACUUGUUGUUGUGACCUCUGAGACUACAAGUGUGACACACCGAGAAAAGGUAGUUUGUCUCGAUACCCAACCCCAAAACAUAGAAGUACCCAAUUGAACCGCAGGCGUUUUCAUUGAAGGAAUAGUGGAGGACUGGGAUAAAGAUGGUGGUGAAAGCUCUAACCCUCCAACUAGGUCGUUUCUUCGAAGACGACUUGACGAGCAAUCUUGGCAGGUUGAGCAAAUAGUUAUCCAAAAAAUGAAUAGUUUGCUCGAGGUCAUAUGAAGUAAUGGUGAGACACAUGCCCAAUUGCUCGAAUUAUUAGUUAGUAGAGUCUUCGCAGAGGGACCUGCUGAUCAAUCUCAACAAUUUCCACUACAAAGUAAUCCGCUACAGGCCAAAGUAGGAUCUACUCAGCCCAAAACAAUUGACUUGGAAAAAAAAGGAGUAUCAAGUAGUAGGUCAGAUGGAUCCGACUAGAGAGUGGAAGUAGCAUCCGUCGAUAUGAUCGAGUCCAAAGGAUGAUGGAUUUGUCCAUGAAAAAGGGGUCGAAGUUCUCGAAAUUCAUCCAUCCAUAUCCAACUUAUGUGGAAAAAUUUGAAUAUCCUAAAGGCUUUAAGAUCCCAGAUUUGAGCCUUUUUGCUGCAGAAUCGUCAUUGUCCUCGUUAGAACAUGUGGCCGGGUUCACUGCGCAAUACGGAGAUGUUAAUAGAUUUCCAUAAACUGCGACUGUUCAACUUUUCAUUGACGGGCUUAGCAAUCGCAUGGCAUAUCAACCUCCCACCUAAUUCCAUCCAAAGUUGGGAGGAGCUGGUUGAGAAAUUUCACGAACAAUUAUAUCGGUCGGGGAUGGAAAUGUCAGUCUCUUCAUUGGCUAAGAUGGCUCAAGCAUCUAAUGAGUCACCAAUGGACUAUCUUACCAAGUUUAAAUUGGCCAGGAAUUGGUGCCCAGUACCUUUUCUCGAAGUCGAAUUUGUUAGGCUCACUCUGAAUGGGCUAGACGUGGAGUACAAAAAGAAAUUCUUGGGGGCAAACUUCCAAGAUAUGUACGAAUUAGGCCAACAUGUCAAGCAAUAUGAUUAUUUGCUCCAAGAGGAAAAGAUCUCGAAGUCCCCAUCCCGAGGAAUGAUUUACAAAAAUCCCACGAUUAGCUAUGCAUUGGCCAAAGAAAGAUUCCAAAUGUGGAAGAUGAGAUAGUAAUAGAUAAACCAUAUGUCUGCAAGGCAUUAACUCAAAUUAAUUCCAAGGAUGCUAAAACCCGCUUGGUCACUGAAGAGACGGCAAAAACAUCAGAUAGUAAUAGAUAAACACAUAUGUCUGCAAGCAUUAACUCAAAUUAAAUUCCAAGGAUGCUAAAAACGCAAUUGUUGUUGCAAAGAUUAUCAACUGAAGAGACGGCAAAAACAUCAGAAGUUUACACUUUUGGUAUCACCAAGGCCGAUGCAAUUUUCGACCAAUUGUUGUUAGCAAAGAUUAUCAAACUUCAGGCAAGACAUAACAUUCCCAAGGUCGAAGAGCUUAAAAAAAAGAUGUAUUGCAAGUACCAUAACUCGACUAAGCAUACCAUGAACAACUGUGUCGUGUUCUGUGAUGAUAUUCAAAGCUGGAUUGACAAAGGCAAGCUAAAGUUUCCUGAAAAAUGAAUGGCGGUCGAUGUUGAUCCAUUCCCUUCGACAACAGUUGGCAUGGUAGACGCCCAUUUUCCCAAGAGCAAAGGGAAAGGGAAGGCCGAGUUUGUCCCAGUACAACACGUCCUAAAGCAAAACUCUCGGCCACGACUCAAAAUUGAUCUAUUUUCCAAUGAACCGCCCACUGAGUUUUCGAGACUGGCUGUAGUUGAAUCUAUGUUGGAUUCCAGUGUAAAAGAAACUGACGGGCUGAUGGUUUUGUGUAGCAAUUGUAGGGCACACGUCGUAUUAACCGAAUCGAAUGAGAGACUAACACCACGACAACCAUCCAAGUCCGUGGCGACACCUCCAAAGGAACUUGGCAGAGGCCAGCUCCAGAAAGUGUUCAAUAGGCUCGGCCAUCAGGAACGGACAAACGGCAUCUUAAUUUUGAUACGCCAUUUUAUAAUGAGGAUUAUUACUCGGGUAAUUCCAGCAGUUCAUGUGCAUUGGCAAAUCAAAAAACCUUCAAGCCGUCUAAGCCGCACGACUAAUGUUGGUACAAUUACAACUUUCCCAUUGGCAUGUAUAUUGCACUAUCCAAAUCCCAAAAACUUCAACGCCAACUGAUAGAUUGCAUGGCUUGACAACAGGCAGCACAAGGCUACUUCGACUACCAAGUGGCAGCCGAAAGAGGCAACAGGAAUUGAAUAUGGCCGACAAACCCCGACCAUUAUGGCUAAAUUACUUCAAGAGAAAAAGGCAGUUGAUCGUGACUUUAAAAUCACCAUUGAAGAGUCCGAGAAACGCAUCAAACUUCUUCUUCGGCCCAGGGAGAUGAAAGCUCAUUUUGAGCAUUUCAUAAAAGAAGCCGAAAGCAAGCUUCCCCCAUUGCCCUAGCAAGAGCCAUUAAUAAAGGUCCGGUGGAAUCUACACCCACCAUUCCUCGGUGAAUCUGUAAAACCCCACCCCUAAAAGUAGUGUAAUUUCAUUUUGUUUUGGGUAUUGUUUUCUUUUAAAAUUGUUUUCGAUGUUAAAUUGUGUGCCACGUGGGGCCUAUCCCCUUUUUGGUCUUCUUCUUCCCGUGUUCCCUUCACCUAACACCCUCAGACUCUCUCCCUCUAAAACUUCCAUUGUCACUUCAUCCUCUCUCCCACAUGAGAAAAUCAUCACAACCUUCAAAUCUAGCCACAACCUACCCCCAAUACUACAAAUCCUGAAUCGAAGCCACCUGAGGACCACCAAGAAAUUCGAAGCACUGAGUUCUCCAACGAAAUCUUGGUGCAAUCCGACGAAAUUAACAAUUGAUCAAACUCGAGGUUGUUCUCAUUUUGUUUCUAGUAAGGAACUCGUAUUCUGCAUGUUAAAAUUCAAGGUGAAAGUAUGGGGUUCUAACCUCUGCAAGUUCUGUGUUCCGUUCCAGAUCUAGCGAGCCAAGCAGGUUGAACUUCGAUGAGUUCAAGGUUGAGUUCAUCCCUGAUGUGCAACAUCAUACACCUAGGUGAUGUCUUGAAACCCUUUUGUGUCGAAUUUGGGUGGAAUUAAAAGUGAAAUGUGAGGUUUAAUCCCUGAUUUUUACUAUGUUCUGUUUCAAUUUUUCCGGAUGACGUCUUCGGCUAAAUUUUAAUGAAACCAAGGUGAAGUCAGACCCCAAAUGUCGAUAGUAAGCCUUUAGUAAAAUUCUAAAACUUUCUAGGUUAAAUUCGAGCGAAAUUCAAAUGAAAUUGAGGUUUUAACCUCUGGAUAUUUCUGUGAGUGAGUGUGUGUGUGUGUGUGCGCGCGCGCACGUGUGUGUGUGUGUGUUGUGUGGGUUUGGGCUCAAGCCCAAACCACCCCCUUUGCUCCUAAACUAUCUAAACCCAAAACCCAAUAGGUCCUAACCCUAUUUAACCUAAACCUAAACCCUAAUCCGGAUCCAAACUCAAGACCUAUUUCCAUUUCUUGAAAUUAUAUCGUUUGGGUAGUUUGAUUAAUUAUACAUUCUUGUGCUUAGGGCAAAUUAUCUGUGGCGUUCCUUCUUCGAUAGGUUGCGUGACUUUUCGACGGCGAAGUACUAUGAGUAGACCUCUUCUAAAAUUACAUGAUUUUUAUAGUUCAAUUUCAUAAAUGAAUAGCAUGCCUUACGAGUUUAUGAUUUGAUUUUAUGUUAAGUAUGUUUAUUGAAUAUGUUGAUUUUCGUCUCGUGUUUUUAGUGAGUACUUAAUUGUUGGCCUAUAUUGAGCUAUAUUUUAAUAUAUCAUAUUUUCUAUAAAAAAACCAUGAACUGGUAGACUAUCUGAUGGAUGACGAUAGGAUAUUAGAACGUGUUUUCAAAAUCCCUCUUUGUAGUAUAAACGAUGGAUGACUUUAUACUAUGAAGUGGUUAUUUAUGAGAGGCAUAACUAUUUGUGCAUACCUAGUGGACACUAUGCCGCCUGGGGCGAGGAUCUGGUGUUGGCAGUUAGGACGGGAGAAAUAAUCCCUAGCUACGGGCUGAGGGACAUGGAGCAGGCAUUGGGCUGAGAGUUGGUAAUCUCUGGCUACGGGCGCAGAGACCACGGUGCUGGCAUAGGGCUGGGAGAUAUAUAUUUAUUUCAGUGAUCUUACUAGCAAUACACUGUGCUUACAAGACGAUACACGUGAUGAUUUAUAUGAUGUUUUUCCGCGUUAGACCUGUUAAGAUGUUUUAUGGCAUGCUAGAGUUCAGAAAACCUAUCACUUAUUAUGCUAGUAGUUUUCAUUAUAUUUAAACUUGGGGGUUAGUAUGUUCAUAACUGUUUUCGUAAUAUGUAUAUAUAUAUAUGAACUUGGUCCACUCACCCUUGUUUUGUGUCCCCUUUCAGGAGUUAGAAUCGAGGUAUACGAUCCCGACGUCAACGUUUUCGCAUUGGCAUAUUUGAGUCCUCUCGGUGUAGGACCUACAUCCUUUUAUUUAUUCAAUUUUACAUUAAUUCUUUUAGAGCUCUAGUUAGUUGUAUGCUCUAAACACGUUCCUAAAUUAUUAAUUCAUUGUAUUUUAAAUUCAUAACCCUUAUUUACUAAAUUAUUAAUUCAUUGUAUUUUAAAUUCAUAACCCUUAUUUACUUCUUAUUCUUAGCUUUUGUAUCAAUUAAUGGCUUUCGUCACCCUCGGGUGUCGGCCAUCAGGUGUUUAUCCUAGUAUUCGGGGAAUAUCAGGGUCGGGGCAUGUUAGAAUCCUUGGAGUACAUGCGAGAAUUUCACAAGGAACAUUCUGCCAAUGACUUGUACGGCCUGCCUAAGGCAUAUCAAGAAGCCCUCGACCUGGCAUUAACUUGCCCUGAUGCUGAACAGAUUAUCCAGAAAACCACCGAUCUAGUAAUAAAGGCUAGGUUCCAGCACAUACGAGAAGUUAGGGUCCUUGACUUCGAGGUCGAUCCAUACACGGACAUUGAUAUGGCCAAGCUUCAUUUUUUCUCUUGAAGACCUUCAAUAUUUACGACAUCACUUCGAUGUCUUUUCGGUCGUAUCUCUCUUCCAUUUUAUGACUGAUGAAAAAGAUUGGGUGGCACAUCUGGACACCUACAUAGACACAAGGGAUGCCUAGAUCACCUAUGAAGAACGAGCCCGUAAAGCACUAUAGGGGCAAAGUCAUAUAGCGUAAAUGAACGGGCUCGAAGACAACAGUCAGAAGGAAGCAAGGUCGGGUCACAUGGCAUAAGAGUAAGUACCUAUUGAGGCAUAUGAUGAUCAGGCCAAGGAUGCUCUAACACACGAUGCUGCAGCCCUCGAUAACCUGGAAGACGACGACCAGGAUCCGGUGGGCUCUUCAGUCCUUGAGAACAUGGAAAUCAGCAUGGUUUAUGUUCUACCUGUUGAAUUCCAACCAACUACACACCAACCAAAUUUCUUGGAUGGUAAUGUGGUGGUUGAGGAAGCUACACAAGUUGAUUCAUCACCAUCGCUGAAGAUGGGCAAGCAAAUCAUGACGAUAAACUUAAAAUAGCCCUCGCCAUAUUGUUUCCCCGCUCAUCCUCGGCUAAUCUUCAACAUUUAAAGUCGUUGUAUGUCAUGACCCACAUUGAAGGUUAUCCAAUCUCCAAAAUUUUUGUCGAUUGUGGGGCGACGGUCAAUAUCAUGCCCAUAUUUGUCAUGAAAGCAUUAUGACGAUCCAACAACGAACUCAUCCCAUCAGGAAUAACCAUGAGUAGCUUCGUCAGUUACAAAUCUUAAACCAAAUGAGUGCUCCAUUUAGAGGUAAACAUUGCAGGUCGCAAUCACAUAACCGUAUUUUUUAUCGUCGAUUCCAAGACCUAGUAUAAUGCUUUGCUCGGUCGGGAUUGGAUUCAUCAAACGAAUUGCAUUCCCUCUUCUUUAUACCAAGUUCUCAUUUUUUGGGACGGAAAAUCGGUUGUGGUCCACCCACCCGAUAAUCAGCCAUUUGAAACCAAUAUGAUUCAGGCCCACUAUUAUGACAAUCAUGUCGGCUACAUUACCCUACAGGGUUUUAAUGAAGAUGGACGGCCGACUCGAAUCUCAGUCCAGAAAGCCAUUGAGGUAAGCACCGAGACUGUACACCAGGAUUCAGCAUGACUCGGCUUGGCCGACUUAAUUACCAACAUUGAUGACUGACGCUAAAACAGAAAGACGCCGGGCUGUGGUUUCAGCCACUAUGGAACGUCUGCGGGCUCAUUGGUAUGCUAUUACCAAGCAUCCAUAUUAUGGCAUAAACUUAAUCAAAUUCUUGGCCAAGGAAGAUAACGGCACAGUAUUAUCGUUACAUAAAGUUCUGGCCCACCGGCCGAACUCGAAGACAAUUGACCCCAAGUUAAGGACCCAUUAGAAGAAAUAAAUGUUGGAACGACCGUUGACCCUCAGUCGUUAUUUAUUAGUGCAUUAUUACCCCACUCCAUGAAACUCAAACUCUGUAAAUUACUCAACGAGUUUAAAGAUUGUUUUGCUUGGAGUUAUCAUGAGAUGCCGGGCCUGGAUCGGACCUUCGUUGAACAUGAAUUAUGCAUCAAAGCUAGUUAUAAGCCUUUCUGCCAGUCCCCUCGUCGAUUCUCGACUAAAGUACAGCUCGGCAUAAAAAAUGAAUUAGUUCGACUUUUAAAAGUCAGGUUUAUUCGGACUGCUUGAUACGUCGAAUGGCUGGCCAAUAUCGUCUCAGUGCUAAAAAAGAAUGGCGCCUUAUGCAUCUGUAUCGAUUUUCGUAAUUUGAAUCUGGCAACUCCCAAAGAAGCCAAUCUCAUAUUUGUUAAUUGACGCUGCAACCAAUCAUGAAAUGUUGUCCUUCAUGGACGGCCAUGCUGGCUACAACUAGAUUUUUAUCGCCAAAGCCAAUGUUCACAAAACCGUUUUUCGUUGCCCGGGGGCACUUGGCACGUACGAAUGGGUCGUCAUGCCAUUCGGCCUCUAAAACGCCAGUGCCACAACCAACGAGCCAUGAACACUAUUUUGCAUGAUUUGAUUGGUACCAUUGUCGAAGUCUACAUCGAUGAUGUUGUAAUCAAAUCAGAAUGUCGGCAGACACAUUUGGAUGACCUCUGUCAGGCUUUCCUAUGUAUGUGUCGGCACAAUCUUAAGAUGAAUCCUGCCAAAUAUGCUUUCGGCGUAUCAGCCAACAAUUUUUUAGGAUUCCUCGUACAUCAUCGUGGUAUUGAGGUAGACGACAACAAGGCUCGCGUAAUCAUCAAUGCUCCAUCCCCAACAACUGAGAAACAACUACAACGUUGCUCGGCAAGAUUAACUAUCUCUUUCGAUUUAUUACUAAUUCGACCGGGAAAAUGAAAGCCUUCUCCACGCUUUUGAAACUUAAGGAUUCUGACAUCUUGGAAUGGCGUGCAGAACACCAAGAGGCAUUUACGUAUAUCAAGGUGUCCCUAACAACUCCACCCGUCCUCGUCCCACCACGACGUGGUAGACCUCUUAAGCUAUAUAUCUCGGCGACCGAAUAAUCCAUCGAAUGCCUUCUUGCACAAGACAAUGGAGCUGGGCGAGAACAGGCCAUUUUUUACCUUAGCCGAAAUCUCAACUGACCAAAGAUUAUUUACUCCACUAUAAAGAAGCUUUGUCUCACCCUAUUUUUUGCUACAUCAAAACUCAGACACUACAUGCUCCUGUCAAUCACUCAGGUUAUCGCCCAGACUGAUGUCAUUCGUUACAUGCUCACUAGGUAGAUCGUAAAGGGCCGAAUCGGCAAGUGGACGAUGGCCCUCUCUGAGUUCAGCUUGCAAUAUGUGCCCCAGAAAGCAUCAAAGGCCAAGUGUUAGUCGAUUUCUUGGCCCAACACCCUUCCCCGUACGAGGUCGGGGGUAAUGACGUUGAAAUCGGCAUGGUAGUAACACGUGAUAAUUACUGGAUGAUGUACUUUGAUGGUUCUAGUACUUUAGUCUCGGUCAGCAUUGGGAUUGUUAUUCAAUCUCCCACUCAUAACCGCUGGUAUUUUUCUCUCAAGCUCGAUUUCGAUUGUACGAAUAAUCAGGCCGAAUACGAAGCCUUUGUCAUCGACCUUGGUGUACUACUCGAUUUGCAGGCGACUUGUGUCCUUGUUCUUGGUGACUCCAAACUUGUAAUUAAUCAACUCGAUGGGACUUUUCGUUGCAUGAGUUGUACUCUGGCGCCUUACCACAUGGUUGCCAGCUAUUUGACCGAGUCUUCUGACGGCGUUACUUUCAAACACAUUUCUUGAGUUCAUAAUACUGAUGCUGACAAAUUAGCUCAAAUAUCCUCCGGAGCACAACUCUUGAGGGGCAAAUUAGGCUGAGAAAUACCUGUGUCACAACAAGCACACUUAGCCUUGAUUAAUCAGCAAGAUCUCUAACGCGAUUGCUUAAUCUGCACAUGAAUCAUAUCCUUACCUUCGUUGUUAGAAUGAAAGGACACUAUUGAGGUUUGUGCUUACUCUUGAAGGGCAAAUUAGGCUGAGAAAUACAUGAGUCAUGUCCUUACCAACGCGAUUGCUUAAUCCGCACAUGAGUCAUGCCAACUGCUGAGGCUCCGCCGACUACUGAGACUUCUCCUAAGCAGCCUUUGUGAAGGCUUCCUCUUGUAUUUUCUGCUUACUGUUCCUUUUUUCUUGUCAUGAAAAUGAAUGUAAAAAUACUUUGCAUAUCUGUCAAUGUUUCAAAAAUAAACCCACACCCAAAAAUAAUUAAAUAAACAACAUAAAUGAAAAAUGACAAUCAUGGUAAAAUAGAAAUGCAGAAAAGGGAAGGUUUUUAGAAACCCAAAACUGAUUGUGGAGCGAUUAAAAAAUCUUCCUUAUUUGAAUACAUGGGUUGCCUCCCAAGAAGCGCUGGCUUUAACGUCCUUCAGCCGGACGAAACUUCCUUCUAAACUUGGAUAGGGCCCACGGCAUGGAGGGGUACAUUGUCGACGACAUGCUCCUCAAAGUGCUCACACAUUGAAUCCUUGAACGGAAGGUGAUACUUGAAGUGAUCCGACAAUGGUUUAAAUUCUGGUGUAGGUGCCUGAAUCAUCAAAAUCAGCAAGUUAGUAGAAAACAAAAUUGAAGUUGGAGAAGAUGGCUUACUUGCUUGCUCCAACACAAACUCAAUUACGAACACCACAUCUUUGAAGGUUGCAGGCAUAUUGGAGUUGGCUAGAUUAAAUGUGAUGGUUGGGCCUUGUCCCGUGUCAUAAAAUUCAACUUCUUUGGGCUUUGUUGUCUCAUGUACAACCUCUUUGAUGUAUUUUACACAUUCGCCAGCCACUUCUUUCUCUUGACUCCUUCUUUUUGGUGUACAAGGUUCUUUGAACACUUCAACACAAUCUGGAACUUGACUUGGUGUGCCAAGAAUUGGGAUAUCACUUUGUACUUUUGGAAUGGCUUCCAGAAUGUCUUUUUCACUCUCAUGUUUCUUGGGAAUUAAAAACCUGCGAGGAAAAGGUGCAUUCGAAGGAAUAACAUUAGAAUGAAAUGAAAUUGGGACGUCUUUACUUGUGGUGGGUGGUUUAGAGGGCGUAGGGGGCUGCGGCAAGGGUUAUUCUACCCUUGCCGUGUGUAUGUCUUCUUCCUCCUCCUCAAUCAACAGCUCUUCAUCCACUUUUAGGCUAUGUUUGGACGUUUUUAGGUCAGCUCCAACCUUCAUAGCACUUCCCAAAGUGAUAGCAUCAUGGAUUUCAAAAUCUUCCUUCAAAUUUUCAAUAGUUGAGUUGGAGAGUUCACUUUGCUCUUGAAUUUAUGCCAUGAACUCCAUAAUCUGCCCAAUUUGCAUCUCCAAUUCGCCCGUCUUCUUGGCUUGAUUUUGCAUCUCUUUGUUUCGAUUUUCUACGUCCUGGUUCAAAGAGGUGAGUAACUUAUUAAACAUAUCAUUAUCCAAAGAUGUACCUGAUUGAAUUGGGCAGAUUGUUAUGGUGGUUGCAUAGGUUUUGAACAGAACUCCUCUUCUUGCUGCCAAUAUCCAUCUUGUUGGAAUUGUUGAGGUUCUCCCCACAUGUAAUCUGAACAAUCUCUCAAAUCUGAAUUGUAAGCGUUGGAAAACAUGUUGUCCCGUGAUUGGUUAUGGCCUUUAUAACCCCAAGCAUCUUCAUUUGCAGUGAAAUGAGAACAUUGAUGAGUUGGAUAUCCUUGCCCAUAGGACACACCACAUGUAGGGAUACUUUGCAUUGUGGUCCUUUCGGCUUAUUGUGACAAUUGAGAAGUAAGUUUCGCCAAGUGAGCUUGACUGGUAGCAAAAUCCUUGUCUUACUUAUCUAGUACCUAAACUCAAGGAAACAAAACUAAAUCAAAUAUCAAAAGUAAAAAUAAAAGACAUAAACAAAAACAAAGUCAGUAACUAAAACAAAAGACAUGUAAAAGAAACAACGGGGGAUAAGCAAAGUUGCUAAUCACUGGCAACGGCGCCAAAAAUUUGAUGCGAAGAUUAACUUAACACACAAAUUUAACCCUCUUUUGACAAUUGUAGUAUAAGUAUAAGUAUGGAUCGUUCUGAACCGGGGAUUAGGGGAGCUUGCUAAUAACCUCUAAACUGACUUAAAAUUUUAUAAACAAAGUUAAAAACACUAAACUAGACUCAAAGAAUUCAAAACAAACUCAAAGAACUCAAAACAAGCUAAAAACACUCAAAUCUGCCUAAAAACACAAACUGGGCAGAUUUGGACUCUAAACACACUUUUGGACGAAUUUGUUGCUUAAUAUCUCACUUGUGCUACUUUUCUUUUCUUUGCUUGAUAAAUCACACAAAACACAAAAACAUAGUAAAUAGCUUAAAAAUAUAAGGAACUAAGAAAAGACAAGUGAAUUUUAUGUAAAAUAUAUAUAAAUAUGAGCUUAUCAAAUACCCCCAUACUUAGCUUUUGCUAGUCCUCGAUCAAAAUAAAGAAAACAAAACACAACCUAAACCUUCCAACGUUUGCCUCAGGGAUUUCCAACGUACAUGACAAGUUAAAAAUCAUCAUUCCCACAGAUUUUAGUCAACUUAACACUUGAGCACAUACUUAAUCACAGUCACCACUUACUGGUUCAUAUUUAACCAAUUAAAACGAUGUUUUGAAUGUAGUAACAUGCCUUAGAAUUUGCUCAAUUCCUUACAAGAUAUGCACUCAAUUGUCACUCAGAUUUUCUGACUACACACCCUACACUAGGUACAUGUGAGAAGAUUGAUGUAAACAUGAAAACUAGUACUCACAUAUAUGUAUAACAAGAAAGCAUUUUCUGGUAUUAAUAAGCAUGUUUAGAUAUGAUCUCAUGAAUGGAAUGCUACUACUUAGAUGCGAGAACCAGUGACACCAUAUGCUCAUACCAAAUUCAAACUCCACAAAUUGAAACACAUAAAACUCAAGAUAGAAGUCAAGGGUUGUAAUGGGGCUUGGGGUAUUGGGUAAUAAAGAAAGGAUAGGAAUAACAAAUGUUCUUGAAGCGAUAGCAAGCAAAGCAAUGAAAUAGACACUUUGGAAUUCACUUUAGAAUGCAGAAUCAACUUUUAAAUACAAAGGGAAGAUUCAUGCAACACUUAGGGCUCUUUUUCACAACUUUUCUUCUAUUCAUUCUAUUUUCCACAAAUGUUUUUUUUUCUUUUUCUUUUCUACUGAUGCGAAAUAGAUAAGCACACAAAUUAAACCCUCUUUUUGUCAAAUUGUAGUAAAGAUGUAAGUAGGGAUCGUUCUAGACCGGGGAUUAGGAGGGAUUGCUAAACACUCGAAAACUAACUUAAAAACAUAGAAACAAAGGUUAAAACACUAAACUAGACUCAAAGAAUGCAAAACUAAAGUUUAAAACACUUAAACAAACAUAAAACUCAAGACAGCAACCUAAUGACUCAAAACUGCCUAAAAACCACUUUCUGGGCAGUUUUGAGAACCUAACAAGAAUUUGGACGAAGUUGGAUGAAAACUUGAAUCAAAACACUUAGAAACACAAAUCAACACUUUCUAACUAAUCUAAGACUUCAAAAUAAAGGGGGAUUUGUUUUGGACGAAAAUUGAAAACAAAACAGAAACUUUAAAACAAAACAGAUUGUAAAACGUUUUUGGAUGAAAAGGAUGGAUAAAAGGCUAGUUAGGAGGUUCUUCCACACAUGACACACUUACAAACAAAACAAUUUUCAGUUGUUCUUCCAAUAAAUUAUGAAACUCAACACCCCAAGUUAAUUAGAUACGCUUAAAUUAACCUUCAAGUUCUCCUUAAGUUAAUGAAUCGGAUGGGAAAGCGCAUACAACAAUUCAAAGCAUUCCUCAAAGGUUCCUUACGUGAUGAGCACAAUAAAGAUACAAUCAAGAAUCAUGAAGCACAAUGAGAACUAUAAGUGUUGACGAGGCAUUCGUUACUAUGAUGAGCAUGAAACUAGUGCCAAGAAUUCAUUCAACGCGAUCGUUUUCAAGCGACCUUCACUACUUGUGAUUAUAAGAUUGUAACUAUUAGGUGAAACUCCCUCAUAAUCUAGCAUCAUAUUCAUGCAUGAAAACUAAGCGUGCACUCUCAAUCAACAUACACAAAUAAGUUAUCAAUCAAGUAGAUGAACGAAUUGAAUCCACAACUUAUGAAAUAACAACUGAAUGUAAUCAAAUCAUAUUGCAAGCAUAUACAUGGUUUCGAAUCACCCCCCAACUAAGGGGGUUUAGUUCCUCAUACUCACAACACAAAGUUUAUUGAAUUGAAACAUUGAAAACAUAAGAAAGAUUACACCUAAAAGUUCCAGCAAUCUGCAAUAGACUAGCAAGCACAUUCAAGAGCACUCCUUCUUCCUUCUUGCUGCGACACAAGGUAUGGAGAUGGUUUGGAUGGGUUUUGGAUGAUUGGGAAUGGUGGAAAAGUGUCUAGGAUGGGUGUAUGGCACGGCUAGGGGGGUUUGGGGUCAGAAAAUAUGGAUUUGGGUGAAGGUUGGGCACGGCAGAGGUAGGGGAAAGGUUUCUGGCGUGAAUGGAGUUGUAUGGAUGUGUGUGGAUUGUUUUUGUGGCUGCAACAAUGAGGUUUAUUUAAAGGAAAACAGAAAUUAAAACCCUAGGUUGAUUAGGAAAUCAGAAAUUAAGUCUAAGGAUUCUAGAAUUAGGAAACAAAUCAGAAAAUAAAAGGAAAGGUCAAGGAAAUAUGCGGCUAGGGUUUAAAACAUAUUAGGAAUGUGUUUUAAUGCUCAAAAUCAGGAAAUGACCCUCUCCCUUGCACGGCAAGGAAGAGGAAGUUGUGGAAAGGGUAUGUGAGGUGCGGCAAGGGUUGAUAUGGUGGAAGGGAGGUGUAUUUGAUGUCCUAAAAUGCUUAGGAGGCCUUCAAAGUUGAUAAUACUUAGGAACAUUUAGGAAAGGUCAAACCAAAGUAGGAAACCUUGGCUUAACUUUCCUAUUUCAAGUAGGAAUCCUUAUUGGAGUAGGAAUCCUUGUUCUUCUAGGAAUCCUCAUGUGAGUAGGAAUCCAUCUUCAAUUAUGAAUCCUUUGUUGAUUAGGAAUCCUUCUUGGAUUAGGAAACCAACUUUCUUCAAGACUUCAAUUCAUCCAUUCCUUUUGCUCCAAAAGGCUCCAUUUUGCUUCUUUUUGCACACUUUGACCUUAGAACCUGAAAACACACAAAAGUGACUUUAAAUACUAAAAUAGCUAAGUAAACACAACCUAAAUGCACGAGAACAAGCCAAUUAAGUAGCAUAAAUAUGCUCCUAUCAUCUACCCGUGCCUUAUUAAGGACUUUGGCACACACACACACAAGAAUCACUUCCCCCACACUUGUUUUUCUGCAAAAGUUCAACAAAAGGAAUUCCUUCUAAAUUAUGUUUUACUAUGCUUCAAGAACAAGGGUAUGGAUGGUCCUAAUCUAGGCUAGGUGAGGAUAGUGUGGGUUAACAAAUAAUAUAGCUACACAAGGCUCAACGGGGUUAAACUUAAACACAUAAUGAAAUAAGGCACGACAAUUUGGCUGUGGUGGUCACUACACAACUUCAUCUUGAAUAUGUAUUAUGCAAAUCAAUAACAUGCUUUGAAUGAAAUAGGCAUGAGUUCUAGCAUUUGGAACUAACUGAUGAAACGCCUUCUAAGUAGCAACCAAGCAAAGAAUAAUGAGAUCAUGCAACGACUUUAGAAAACAAUGAUGCACAGAUUAUUAACUCUCCAAAUAAAAGAUUAGGCUCAAGUCUCACAAGGUUAUAGUGUACAUUUAAGUUCCUUCUUUCAAGCAUGUUACAAAACUGAUUUUUCCUUUAUGAUUGCAUGUGAAUUCAUAAAUUAUAACCACAACCAAGCAUACACCAAAGAGUAAAUCAAAUUUUCAUCCAUGUUUAUAACUCUCUUUAACAGUCAUGCAAUUAAAAACCAAAUCCUCAUCAUUGUGUUGGAAGGUACCCUAAGACACAAACAAACACAUAAAAACAACUCUUUUUGGGUUUUUCAAAACAAUUUUUCAAAUUUUUAUGAGAUUUUCGGAUUUUUAUGUCAAAACACACUAAAACACUCCAAAACAGCUUAAAAACACUUAAAAUAGCAAGGAACAACACUAGAAGUAAUGGGUGAUAAACUCCUACGAAUUUCAUGCAAAACAAUGGUUACCCCCCCCACACUUAGAUCAAACAUUGUAGAGUUUAAGAACGAAUAAACAUGACAAGUAUAGCAAAGUAAAAACCAGACAGAGUAGAGUUUAAGAACGCAAAUCUGGUUUUGGAGAUAGAUGAUCUUGUUGUCUUUCUACAGCUUUGAUCUCGAACUGGUUCGGAAUUCUAAGCGAGAGUUCCUUGGUUUCAACUCAGACUCCUUGUGCAGUCUGCAUUCUUCUCUGCUUGUUUCUGCACGGCAGGCAGGCACGAGGUAGAGGUGUUGGUCUGUUUCUUUCUUCAAUCUUUCCAAGUGCCCACCUCUUACUUUCUUUCUCCUUGUCCCUAGCUGAGGAUGAAUUAGCACAUUGUCUCCAUAUGCUUCGAGGUAUCAUUUUCACAUCCCUUAUCUGUUCCCCAAGCAGAUGUGGUAGACGAAGAGGAAGUAUAAGAUGUUGAAGAUGAGUACUCAAGAGCAGGGCUAGGUAAGAAAUCAGGAUGGGGUUCCAGGCAGUCGGUUCCAGAUCAAAAGAUUGAUACCAAGUGCUGGCUGAUUGCUCUCUUUCUCCUUGUCCCGCAGAUGAAAACAACGACAAGGAGAAGGACAGGGAGAAAGCAUGAUAUGAGAUACUCUUGCUUUCAACCUUCAUGAUAUGAAAUACUUUUGCUUUGGAUGAGUUGUUUGCAUAGGUACCCUAAGGAAUAAGGAACACUGAAUGACUCGAGAGGCUUCGUUGGGAAGGCAUUCUCGGAGAUGACGGAAGGUUAUGUAUGUCUGCCUUGUUAUGGAGGGUGAAGGUCAACAUUUAUAAGAAAUAAUAACCGGUACUAUUCUUUCACUCUUGUCGGCAACCGUUGGAUGAUUGAACAGUAAACUUCACGUGCUUUCUACUUUAUUAGAAAUCUUUGACAGAUUGCCCGUAAUUUCCGCAAGGCUGAGUGUGCAUGUGACAGAUGCUGACACGUCGGGAUAAAGCAGAUGCCUCUUCGAUAUCUGGAAUCGACGCUUCGACAAACUGCCCGUGAUUUUCGCAAAGCUGAGUGUGCAUGUGAGAGAUGCUGACAUGUCUGGAAAAGCAGAUGGCUCUUCGAGUUCUGAGCUCCGUCGAGUGCAGAGGUUGCAUGUGACGAGUGCAGACAAAUUUGGAACAGAGGAUAGCCCGUGGUUCCUGAGCAAGCCCAACUUUUGAGAAAGCUAACGCCUCUUCGAUUUUUGAAUUGGCCUCUUUGAAUUCUGAGUUCGCCUCUUCGAUAUCUGAAAUCCCGUCGAGUGUUGAUUUUUUUAGUGGCACGCAGUUCAUUUCAAAGCACACUUGAAUUUGUGCUUGUAGAAACUCCCUUCCUGCACUUCUAAUAUCUUGACUUGUCCGACCUCUUCUUUCUUCAAUACCUUUGAAAAUGUCUGGCCCUUCCGACUAUCGUUUUGACUUGAAGCUUAGUGAAGAGGCUUCCAUGCCUUCUCCAGACAACAUAUGGCACCCAUCUUCAUAUCCCCUACUGGUUCUCUUACCGUUGGGGAUUCGGUGAUGAAGAAUGACAUGACUGCUGCGGUGGUGGCCCAGAACCUUGUCACUUCUAAAGAUAACAGACUGCUUUCCAAACGGUCUAAUGAGUUGGCUGUUAAGGAUUCUCUAGCUCUCAGUGUGCAGUGUGCUAGUUCUAUGUCUAAUAUGGCCUAACGCCUAUUUGCUCGAACCCGUCAGGUUGAAUCGUUGGCGGCUAAAGUGAUGAGUCUCAAACAGGAGAUUAGACGGCUUAAGCAUAAGAAUAAAUAGUGUUGGAAAUGUGCCCUAAAAUCAAUCAUGUGAUGAUGCUUUACGGACAUUUCACAUGUUAAACUAAUCUAGUUUAAUAUAAAGGGCAAAGAUUAUUGUUUGAGCCGUCUCAUAUAAAUGUUAUAUGCUUAAACGAUAAAGUCCAAGGAAUAUGUGAUUGGGAGAAUGCAAUCUAAUGAAGUUAGAUUCAUGAGACCAUUCUUUCGUAGACACAUCCUAAAUGUUCCUGAUCAUAGGAUUGCCAAUUGGGCAUUGACAGUCCGUCAAGAUCGGUACGUGCUCUGUCUUCUCUCAGAGAGAGUGACUAGUCUCGAGUCAUUGGUGUGUGUGACAUCAAGACAAGUACGUAGGUGCUCAGUAGAGAAUGAGUUCACUGAACGCGAUCAACGAAGAGUUCUCAUACUCAUGUCACAUGAGAACUCAUGGUUGGGAUAAUGCAAAGUAGUCCUUUGACCUGAGGCAUCACAGUUGUCUUGUGGUUAAGUCCUUGAUCUUUGAUUAUGUCAAAGUCACCCCAUCGGGGUGUCCAUGGCAUCGUUGGGGUUAAGCCACUUAGCCAUGGAGGCAAGUGAAUGCGCAACAAGGGACCUCUAACCUUCAAACUGUUUGAGGGAGAAUACUCUAUGAUAUGAUUAAGAAUUUCUGGCCAGAGUAUGAAUGAGAUUUAGAAAAGUCGUUCUAAAUCACAUUCAAAGUAAUCAUAUAAGCACACGAAUCACAUUGGAUAGUAGACAUGAAUAAAUAAACUAUCAAACCAAACAAUGUGGCCAAGAGUAUUGUAUUAGAGAAAGACCGUAUUGCAUUUGUAAUCCCAAACUGAAUAGGUUUUCUCUACCUCUUCUGAUUAGCUUGGGUAACCAUGAUAUGCUGCAAGGUGUCACUCAUGGUUUGUGGAAGCCCUAAACGUGUGUAAUCACUAAAGGGAGAAUUGAAAGUAAGUUUCAAUUCACAAUCGAUAUAAAAUGGUUUUAAUCGCCCACUGCCUCGCUAAAAGGAACCUAAUGGAUCGCACAUCGUGUAAGGUGGAGAUUGAAGAAACAAUGGAGAUGAGUAAGAAUGAUUAAAUGGUUUAAUCAUUUAUUUAUGGCAAGGAUUAAUUAAUAUGUUAAUUAAUCAAACGAAUAAGUUCGUUAAAGACCUCGGGAUAGUUUUGGACAUUAAGGCCCAAUGGGCUUCGAACGUCAAGCCCAUUGACUUAAGUUGUAUGACAACUUAAUGAAUAAUGAUUCACAAAGGCCUAAUUAGCCCAAAAAUACCCUAGGGCCGGCCAUGAUGCUAAGGGUAGUGAACUUGGACUUAUUUACAAGUUUGCCACUCAAAUGAAUAAAGGUAUAAAUAUGACUUUAUAGCCUAAAAUUCAUAAGGGUUUGUUUUGGAGAAAAUUGGAGAGAACAUGACUCUCCAUUUCUCUCUAAAGAGGCCGGCCACCUUGGGGGUGCAUCUUGCAAUCCCACUACUCCAAGGUCACUCAUUUCUUCUCCAAUCUCUCCUUGGUGAAGAGACUUAGAGGUUCCCUAUUUUGGGAACUUGGAGAAACCUAUUCAUCUAUCCAAAUCCAUAGAUUUAAGAUGCAAGGAAUGAAGGCCCUCUCUUUGGGUGAUUAGCCUUUGCUUAUGCAAAGAGGAAUCUACAAAGGUACAAUUUCAACUCACUUUGUUUUGAGUUGAGUUUUGGUUCACCAAUCUACUAGGCUUUGAAUUUCAUGGUUAAUGUUUUGUUUUUAAGUGCAUGCUAGCUUGGUUCCGCCUUUAAUUGUUAAUUGCAUGCUUAUUGAUGUUGCUUAAAUGAACAUGUUUUCACAAAAUAAUCCUUCAAGUGGUAUCAGAGCCUAGGUCUAGUAGUUGGUGAAUCCUUUUGGGUUUUGUAGUUCAUAGUUUGUGAUUUAAAAGUUGUAAUAUGUUACAAGCUUUAUUCUUGUUUCUUUGAAUGUAAAUUUUGUUAGAAAAUUUGCCAUUUCAAAUGUUGUAGAUGUAGUUCAUAUGAGCAUGAAUAUUGGAGCUAAAAUUUGGUGCCAUGACUUUGGGAAAAUUCGGCCAAAUCCAAAGGAUUUUUGGGUUCUUGUUUGACUUGUUAAAAGUGUUUUCAAGUGACUUUUGCAACCCCUAUGUACCCUAGUUUGGUUAGAUGUUAUUUCCCUAAAGUUUGAAUGGUUUUGGAAUGUUUUUGGGUGAAAAAGUUCAUGGAAAAAUUUUGGGUUUUUCAUGAAUGUUCUUCAUUGGUCUUGACAUUUUUGCCAAGAACAAAAAGGUUUGUGUUUUGAUUUAUUUCAUAAAGUUUAUGUUUUAUGUUUUUCAAAUGAUUUAUUGCAUUAAAUAUUUAUUUGAAUGGUGAUGGAAAUGGUGAUAGAAAUAAUGGUGGGUGUGAAAGGAUGAAUUCCCUUUCACACACACCACUUGUGCACUUGCAUGCUUUAUGUCAAAACUCACAAAUCAACACACACAUCACUCAUAUCCUCUUCCAAAACCGGCCACCCCCUAGUGGGGGUACUUUUGGGGCCUUUUAUGCAAUUACAUAAAGUUUUGAUAAUUUGCACUUUGGCCCAAAAGUUUACGUUUUUACGUUUAGGUCCAAAAACGCUAAAGGACAAAUUGUUUUGCUCCUUUCAUGAAGUUUUUGCAUUGAUUAAAUUUUGGGUUCUAGUGUAAUUACAUGAAGUAGUGGACUUUUGUGUCUUUACAAAGUGACCCCAAAAGUUUUGCAAUAUAGCCCAAAAGUUGAGGUUAAUUGCUUUAUGGCCCAAAAGUUGUGGUUAUUGCAUAUUGGCCCAAAUUAGGUAGAGAACAAAAUUGUUUUGUCUCUUUAAAUGAGAAUUGGAUUUUCAUUUUGUUUAGCUUCAUUUAAAUCAAUUUUAUGGAUACAAAAACCAAAUGAAAAUGUUGCAUUCAAUUUAAUUAGUUAAAGUGUUAAUUAAUUAAAGGGAGAUUAUGAACCUAAGCCUAAUAUAAUUGAGCUAUGUGAAAGGCCGUUUCAAAUUUGUUUGAACCAUGGGAAUGUGUAGAUUAGAUUUUGGUUGUAAUUUGAUUUGAUCAAAUGUUGUAAAAGGGCUUAAGCUCUUCUUUACUUUAAAGUAAUUUGUUAUAUGCAAAUGUUGUAAUGAGCAUAAGCUCACCUUUACUUUGAAGUACUUCUUUCUUGCUUUAUUUGAUAUGCAAGAAAAUGAAGUAGUUGGGUCCAACGCCCCUAAGACAACACGCCCUAAUGUGAUUAAACGCGUAACUAAAAUCAAUCACCAUCCCUAGACCGAGAUUCAACACAAGGCUCGUGUUGAAUCUAAACAAAGGUUCAUAGUCAUCCUAAGGCCCUAAGGCAACUAUAUAGUCCAUCAAAUGAAUGCAAAGGUUAUGUUAGUAGUAUCAUAUACUCUUGCUUUAAAAACCGUUUUAUAAGCAUAGUGGGAGUAUUAUAUACAACUAAAAACAAUCAAAUGGACCAAUAGUUGUAAUAGGACCAAAAUAGUUUUAAUAGAGAUUAAAAUGUAUGUUUAUAUGUGAUGAGACCUAAAACCCUCAACCAAACCCUUAUUAAGUUGAUAAAUCGUGAGAGUGCUUUGAACACUCUUUCGUAGGCCUUCCACCGUGGUGGGAUCUAAUCGUUUAUGACUUGUACACCGGCUUUGUUGGAAAUGUGCCCUAAAACCAAUCAUGUGAUGAUACUUUACGGACAUUUCACAUGUUAAACUAAUCUAGUUUAAUAUAAAGGGCAAAGAUUAUUGUUUGAGCCGUCUCAUAUAAAUGUUAUAUGCUUCAACGAUAAAGUCCAAGGAAUAUGUGAUUGGGAGAAUGCAAUCUAAUGAAGUUAGAUUCAUGAGACCAUUCUUUCGUAGACACAUCCUAAAUGUUCCUGAUCAUAGGAUUGCCAAUUGGGCAUUGACAGUCCGUCAAGAUCGGUACGUGUUAUGUCUUCUCUCAGGGAGAGUGACUAGUCUCGAGUCAUUGGUGUGUGUGACAUCAAGACAAGUACGUAGGUGCUUAGUAGAGAAUGAGUUCACUGAACGCGAUCAACGAAGAGUUCUCAUACUCAUGUCACAUGAGAACUCAUGGUUGGGAUAAUGCAAAGUAGUCCUUUGACCUGAGUCAUCACAGUUGUCUUGUGGUUAAGUCCUUGAUCUUUGAUUAUGUCAAACGUCAUUCCAUUGGAGUGUCCACGGCAUCGUUGGGGUUAAGCCACUUAGCCAUGGAGGCAAGUGAAUGCGCAACAAGGGAUCUCUAACCUUCAAACUGUUUGAGGGAGAAUACUCUAUGAUAUGAUUUAGAAUCUCUGGCCAGAGUAUGAAUGAGAUUUAGAAAAGUCGUUCUAAAUCACAUUCAAGGUAAUCAUAUAAGCACAUGAAUCACAUUGGAUAGUAGACAUGAAUAAAUAAACUAUCAAACCAAACAAUGUGGUCAAGAGUAUUGUAUUAGAGAAAGACCGUAUUGCAUUUGUAAUCCCAAACUGAAUAGGUUUUCUCUACCUCUUCUGAUUAGCUUGGGUAACCAUGAUAUGCUGCAAGGUGUCACUCAUGGUUUGUGGAAGCCCUAAACGUGUGUAAUCACUAAAGGGAGAAUUGAAAGUAAGUUUCAAUUCACAUUCGAUAUAAAAUGGUUUUAAUCGCCCACUGCCUCGCUAAAAGGAACCUAAUGGAUCGCACACCGUGUGAGGUGGAGAUUGAAGAAAUAAUGGAGAUGAGUAAGAAUGAUUAAAUGGUUUAAUCAUUUAUUUAUGGCAAGGAUUAAUUAAUAUGUUAAUUAAUCAAACGAAUAAGUUCGUUAAAGACCUCGGGAUAGUUUUGGACAUUAAGGCCCAAUGGGCUUUGAACGUCAAGCCCAUUGACUUAAGUUGUAUGACAACUUAAUGAAUAAUGAUUCACAAAGGCCUAAUUAGCCCAAAAAUACCUAGGGCCGGCCAUGAUGCUAAGGGUAGUGAACUUGGACUUAUUUACAAGUUUGCCACUCAAAUGAAUAAAGGUAUAAAUAUGACUUUAUAGCCAAAAUUCAUUAAGGUUUUUUUUUGGAGAAAAUUGGAGAGAACAUGACUCUCCAUUUCUCUCUAAAGAGGCCGGCCACCUUGGGGGUGCAUCUUGCAAUCCCACUACUCCAAGGUCACUCAUUUCUUCUCCAAUCUCUCCUUGUUGAAGAGACUUAGAGGUUCCCUAUUUUGGGAACUUGGAGAAACCUAUUCAUCCAUCCAAAUCCAUAGAUUUAAGAUGCAAGGAAUGAAGGACCUCUCUUUGGGUGAUUAGCCUUUGCUUAUGCAAAGAGGAAUCUACAAAGGUAUAAAUUUCAACUCACUUUGUUUUGAGUUGAGUUUUGGUUCACCAAUCUACUAGGCUUUGAAUUUCAUGGUUAAUGUGUUGUUUUUAAGUGCAUGCUAGCAUGAUUCCGCCUUUAAUUGUUAAUUGCAUGCUUAUUGAUGUUGCUUAAAUAAACAUGUUUUCACAAAAUAUUCCUUCAGGCUUCACCCUAUCAUGGGGGAGUACAAAGUGCAUGCUUAUACUCAGGAGGAAUCCAUAAACAUAUGAUGAGGUUGAUGUAGGCAACGAGGAUGGCCAAUAUCGUAUCAUUGUGAGGCUAUUCUUGAACCCCUUCAUGAACUAAGCAUGGUGGGAAUGACUUAACUAAGUGCAAUGGAGCCAAUAUCAUAUCAUUGUGAGGUGACAUUCUCUAGAGGCCAAAUAAGAUGGGUACUUGCAUUAGUUGCAAAUGAGUAAGCGUACUCUCUCAUUAUUAUUAAUGCUAGCCAAUAUCAUAUCAUUGUGAGGUGGGCUUGGUAAUAGUGAGCCUCCCAUAACCUACUAAGAGUUUCCUCCAAAACUCUCGAAUUCCAAUGAGGGAUAUGGAAUUUGCCAAAAAUAGUGGGUGGUGCUAUUUGAUUUAAAGACUCAAAUCAAAUGGCUUAAAAUCAAUCAAUUUAUAUUCGUUAUGUAUUUGUUUACCAAUAUAUUUGCAAACGCUAUCCAACACUUGACAAAUAAAAACCAAAAGUUUAGUUUCCGGACUUGGUAGUACAAAACCAUAGAUUGUCUUUAAUGGCUUGUAAAUGUACCUAAGUAGUCUCAUCCUCACAAUCUUCCUAAUGAUAAUGUAUCAUUGGAAGAACAUGUUAGAAAAGUCUAUCAUGAAGAGGACAACACAAACAACCAAUGCUUAAUCCUUUGUUAAAUGAACAAAGGAACUUACGAAGAUUAGCAUAAAGAAAAUGACACUUUUAGUGUUAUUAGUUCUUCACUUAUAAAUCGUUGUAUGAAGAAAUAAUGAGUUGUUUUGAACAACCCUUAGUCAAUGCAAACACUUAGUGCUUGUUUCUUUGUUACAUGAACAAAGAACUUGAGAAGAAAGCACAAAGGCAUGGACACUUAAUGUGCCAUGACUCUUCACUUACAAUUGUUGUGUGUGAAGAAAUAAGAGUUGCCUUGUACAACUCUUUAAAGUUUGUAAUUAUGUUUAGAACAUAAUGGUUGGUUGACAAAAAUAGUCCAUCAACAUGGACUUAUGAUGAUUUUGAAUCAUUGAGUGUUGAAGUGUUAAAACACUUCUAGAGACGGGAACUAGGCAAGGACUUCACCUUUGUGUCCCUAUCCUAAUCGUUCACUAAGUUUAUUGUAAACUAUGUAGUGUACAAUAAAACACAUGCUCUCCAAAAUGUUUGAUGUGUAUAACACAAUUGAAAUAAGUUUCAAGAGAGAUAGUGGGAGUUUAGGGACCUUGACUAUGGUAGUCAAAGGAGAAGUCAAAUGAAGAAAGCGAAAUAACUCCAAGGGAACAAACUUUCUUUAUGAAAGGAUGGACAUUGGAAGGGGUAUUUGCAAGAAAUGUCUUGCAAGUGUCAAGAACACACCUUUCGAAGGUGUUGUAAAUUGUUCUUGAAAAGUUCAAAAUAGUUGGUUCUUCUACUUGAAUGCUUGAUUCCGUAUUAGUAACUAUGUUUUACAAUCGUUGUAAAAGUGUGGCUAAUAAGAAGUAGAAGAUUAAUGAGAGAAGAGAAAGUACUUCACAUUCGGAAAGUGAAUAAAAUAUAGAUUUCUGCGAAAGCAGAUGGUACUUACUUCCUCAUAUGAACUACCAAAGAAAUUGGAAAAACCAAAGAUUGUCUUUACAUUCCAAUUUUAAGGAACUAAAUUCCGUCACUAUGUGAAAUGGAUAAAUGUUUUGUUUGACAAAACAUUGUUCUUUAUUAAUGAAUGAUUAGAUUAUUGUAAUCUAAUUAAUUAUUAUCUCUAUAUUAGAGAUAAUAUGGUAGUGUUAACUGUUUAGAAAAUAAUGAUGCUUAAAACCCAAAAGGUUGCAAGGUAGUGACUAAUCCCAACUAAAGUUGUGAUACCUCUAAAACAUAAAUUACGAGUUGGUCAUAGAUGGACGCUUUGGAUCGUUAGAUCCGGAUCCAAUACCUUCUUGUUAAAAUUGUAUAGAGGCGAAAUGUUCGAAUCUUUAUUCUUUUGGAAAGAAGAAAGAAUCACAAAGUUGUUGAGGUUAAUUCACUUAGAUAGUGGCACUUGUCCACAACAUAAUACUACUCAUGUUGGAUGACAUUCACCGAAGAUCACUCUCGGUUGAACUAUAGUUUAUUUUGAAUAAACACAAGUCCGAAUACUUUGCAAAAUGUUUCAAAGAAUUCAAGUAAUGUAAGUUGAUGAGUAAGACGUCUAAAGUAUUUACCUCCUUAGAUUUGAUCCAAGGAUAAGGUAACACUUUAGAACAGUUUCCUUGAAAGAUAUCAAGGAAAUAAGCAUCAUAAGAUAAUGUAUUUCUCCAUUAGGAGAAGAACGAACUCGAAUAAGAUUUAGUUCGUUAGAUGUUAUCUAUUACCCAUAUAUAGGAUAUAUACUUCUAAAACAAUAUGAUUGUCAAUUGAGAAGAUCUUCCAAUAUUUUCAUGACUCCAUAAGAUGUAGUUGGAAAGAAAGACAAAUCUUAAAACAUGUUAAGAUUUGGGGUUGUGUGCUAAUAAACAAUAUUUGUUUGAUAACAAUCUUGUGGGAUAUCCUUAAAUUAACUUUUGGAUAUCGCUUCUAUAAACCAACUAACAAAUGUUGUUUUGUUGAGUAGUUCAUUGUAAUCCUACAAUGUGAUUUGCCUAAAAGCAAAUGAACUAGAGAUAGAACUCAAAGAAUGGGUUCUUUGAGAGACAAGAUGAUAAUCAACAAAUAUAAACAACCUAGUUCCUAUACCAAAAGCUCCAAGGUAGUUGAGAAGGAUUUAUAAACCGUCUCAGUUGAAUGGUUUGAACUUUAUGACUAUGUCAUAGAGUUGCACCUCUUAAUUCGAAAGAAAUAAGAAUGAAAAUCCUUAUGACUACAUUGAGUGUAUAUAUAUGAUAUAUACUCAAGGAAAUGGUAAAGUACCAUUUGACUCGAAAUAAUGAAACCUUCAUAGCUAAUUGGUAGCUUAAGGUGACUACAAUCAAAGAGAAUGGUUGACUUUGAAGGAAACCAUCUUUGACGUAGUCUUAGUUUCAAUUAAUUCGAAGAUUGCUAGCUACAACUAAAUGGUGAUUCAAUGUUUGGACAUAAUUUGGGUUUUCGAAACCAUUAUUAAGAUAGUCUUGAUAAUAUAUGUCUAAAACUAUGAAUCACAAGACAUGUAAGUUGUAGAGAUCCAUCCAUCAUGGAUCUUAGCAAGCUAGUGGGAGCUAUAAGCGUCUUAUGAGAGAAAGGUCAAAUCGUUUGCUUUCUCAUAAAGAUGUAAAUGAAUCUUUUGUUUACUAGGUUUACAAAAGAUUAGUGGGAGUUAAUCAUAUUCCUAAAUUUAUAUAUAUAUAUGUGAUAUAUAUGAAUGUAUAUAUGAUAUAUUAAUUUUGGAAAUGAAAAGAAUAUUUCUUCGUUAAAGUUAUGACUUUAAACAUUCUAUAAAGAUAGAAUGAAUAUGGGAGACAUAGUCUAUAUACAUGGGAUGGAAAUCUAUACUGAUAGAUUUUAGGAUAUAAUUUGAUUAUAUCAAUCCCUAAUAAUAGACAAAAGUUGCUAGGAAGUUUCUCAUAUGAUGAUAAACUUCAAUUAGAAGGACGACUCUAGUGUGACUAGCAAGUUGCUGUUGGAAGUAUGCCCACAAAGCCACUCAUUUGAUGUAAUAGCUUUUUGGAAUACUUAAUGUAUUAAACUUUUAUAUGUUUAAUGAAGGGCAAAUCUUAUUGUUAAUCACUAUUUAUUGUAUCAUGUGUUUAAGCAAUAAGAGAAUCCAAGGAAUGUAUUUGUUCUACGAGAUAAGUGAUCUAAGUGAGUUAGAUUAUCGAGACCUUUCUCUUAUGUUCAUUCCUAAAACGUUCCUAGCCAUAGGAUUGCCAAUUGGGCAUUGACAAUCCGCUAAGGUUAGUAUGUGUUGUGUUGACUCAAGCGUGAGUAUGACUAGUCUCAAGUCAUUUGGUGUUGGACACUAAGACAAACACAUAGGUGCUCGAAAGAGUAAUCGAGUACACUGAACUACGAUCAAAAGAGAGUUCGAACAUACAUGUCAUGUAUGAACUCUAAAGUUACAAUAUGCAAAGUAGUCCUUUGACCUGAGGCAUCAUCGAUGUCUAAUGGUUAGGUCCUUGAUCUUUCAUCCUGUCAACGGCAUUCCUUUGGAGUGUCCACGGCAUUGUUGGGGUCAAGCUAUCUAGUCAUGUAGGCAUAUGAAUGCACAACAAGGGAUCUCUAACCUUCCUUGGUGGAGGAGAAUACUCUAAGAUAUGAUUCUAAAGUCUUUGGCCAAAGCAAAUGAAUAUGACUUAGGAAGUUUGUUCCAAAUCAUAUUCAUGGGAAUCAUAUAGGAAAGUAUCACAUUGGAUAGUAGACAUGAAACAAACUAUCACUUAAACAAUGUGAUUAAGAGUAUUGUAUUAGAGAAUGACCGUAUUGCAUUGUAGUUGUAACUGGAUAGGUUCUCCAACCAAUUCUACUUAGCUUGGGUAACCAUGACAUACUGCUAGGUGUCACUCAUGGUUUGUGGAAGCCCAAAUGAUUAGGUAACACUAAUCAUUAAAGGGAGAAUUGAAAUGUGGUUUCAAUUCACAAAUCGAUCGUUAAGAGUAACAUCGCCCACUGCCUCGCUAAUUGGAACCUAAUGGAUCGUACACCGAGUAAGGAUGUAUGUGAAGAAAUUCAAAUGAAAUGGAUAAGCAAUUAAAUGGUUUAAUUGAAGAAUGGUCAAGAUUAAUUAAUUAGUUAAUUAAUUAUUUACGAAAGGUUCGUAUUGGGCUUAUAUGUUUGGUUUUGGGUUUCGGGGCCCAAAAGCGUUUUGGUCCACAAGGCCCAUUAUGUUUAAGUUGUAUGACAACUAAAACAAAAUGGGCAAAUUAGCCCAAUAACAAAGGAUGGCCGGCCAUUAGGGUGAAUGGGCAAAGUUUGCUUUAAUUACAAGUUUGCCACUCACCAAAAAAAAGGUUAUAAAAGCAACUUUAUAGCUAUUUUUCUAAUUAGGGUUUUUUCUUGUUGAAAUUGGGUGAAACAUUUUCUCCAUUUUCUUCUAAGGAGGCCGGCCACUAAGGGGAGGGACAUCUAGCAAUCUCUUCUUCCCUUAGUCAUCCAUUUCAUCUUCACAAGAUACAACCUUGGUGAAGAGACUUAGAGACAUCAAGCUUUUGGUGUUUUGGAGAACAAAUCCUUUUUCCUCAAAUCAUCAAAGGAGCACUAAAGGGAGGAAAACACAAGGAGGAUUCAAGGAGCUUGGAGGUGACUUGAAGGCCCUCCACUUGGGUGAAUCCCUUGUGUAAACAAGGAUGAGCUUCAAGGGUAAAGAAUCACUAAAUCUUUACUUCUCUUUAAUGUUGUUAAAGAGUUUAUUUUGGUUCACCAUAUACUAGGCUUUGAAAGUCAUGGGUUUUUAUGAAUUGUUUUUGGAUGCAUGCCUACUUUAAAGUGUUAAUAGCUUGCAUGUGUAUUCAAAUGUUCAUACUUGUUCUUAGCUAGGACAAAAUUUUUCCUUCAAGUGGUAUCAGAGCCUAGGCCUAGUGUAUGGUGAAUCCUUUUGGGUUUUGUGAUGUUCAUAUUUUUGUGAUUUAAAUGUUGUAAAUGUUACAAGCUUUGUUCUUGCUUUUGAAUAUAUAAAUUUUGCUAGAAAAUUUAGCAUCUCAAAUGUUGUAGAUGUAUUUCAUUUAAGCAUGAAUAUUGGAACUAAAAUUUGGUGCCAUGUGUUUUGGGAAAUUCGGCCAAAUCCUUAGGGUGACUUUUUUGGGUUCAUGUUUGUCUUGUUAAAAUGGUUUUAAGGUGACUUUUGGAACCCCUAAGUACCCUAGGAUAUUAGCCCUCUUUUGAGAGGUGAAAAAUUGAGUUUUGGUGAAUGAAAACAUUCCAUGGAGCUAUUAUGAGUUUUUCAUGGUGUUCUUCAAAUGUUCUUGAAGUUCUUGCCAAGAACAAAAAGGUUUGAAGUUUUGAUUCAAAAGUUUUAUGUUUUUCAUAAAGUUUUGGUUUAAUUUUGAUGGGUGAUGGAUAUUGGUGAAGCAUUAAAAUUGGAUUUAAUGUUUGUCAAAAACUCAUUAAUGUUUUACAAAACAUUUUCUUACAAACCAUCAAUUUCACAUCACCCACCAAAAUCAACUUGCAUAUUGCACAUGCAUGCACCACUUGCAUAAAACCCUUUCACACUCAUUCACACCUCUAAAAACCGGCCACCCCCUAGUGGGGGUACUUUUGGGGUCUUUUAUGCAAUUACAUAAAGUUUUGAUACUUUUGUGUGUAUUUGCACUUUGGCCCAAAAGUUUACGUUUUUUACGUUAAGGCCCUAAAACGCUAAAGGACAAAUUGUUUUUGAUCCUUUAAUGAUGUUUUUACAUUAAUGAAAAUUUUGGGAUCUAGUUGUAAUUACAUGAAGUUGUGGACUAUUGUGUUUUUUUCAAAGUGACCCCAAAAGUUUUUGUAUUUGCAUUAUGGCCCAAUUGUUGUGGUCAUAGUUUCCUUUUGGCCCAAAUAAAAUGAGAACAAAAAUUGUUUUGUCUCUUUAAUGAGAAUUGGAUUUUCAUUCUAUUUAGUUCCAUUUAAAUCAAUUCUAUGGAUCCAAAAACCAAUUGUUUAAAGUUGUUUUCUUAGUUAAUGUGAUUGAUUAAGAAAAGGGUGAUUAUGAACCAAAGGCCACGAUAAUUGAGCUAUGUGAUUGGCCGAUAUACAUUAUGAAUGUUUGGGUUUUAGUAGUGUAGAUUUGAAUGUAAUUUGAUUAAUUCAAUUUGUUGUAAAUGGACAUAAGUCCAUCAUUUGAUUUUGUGUUGUAAAAGGGCAUAAGCCCUUAUUAUUAUUUCAUGUAUUCCUUUUUGUUUAUAUGUAUGCAAAAUGGAAUAGUUGGGUCCAACGCCCAAUAGGAAAUAACGGUUUAAUUGGAUUAAACGCGUAACUAAAAUCAACAACUAUCUACCUUAAACCCAAGGUCCAACACAAGGCUCGUGUUGGAUCAAAUCAAUCGGUUCAUAAUCAUCCUAAAACCUAAUAUGACUAUAUAGUCCAUAUGAGGAUGCAAUGCAUUCGUUAGUAGUUCCAUAUAGUCUCGCUUGUUUCAACGAAACAGUGGGAGUAUUAUAUGCUACUAAUUCAUAUUAACUUGGACCAAUAGUUGUGAUAGGCCCAAGUUCUUUUAAUGUGAUUAAAAUGUUUUGAUGUAGCCCAAAACUACUCCCUCAACAACCGAAUAUUAAGUUGAUAAGCGAGAGAUGCUUUGAACAUCUCUUCGUAGGCCUUCCACCGUGGUGGGCUUCAAUCGUUUGUGACUCAUACACCUGUAUUCGUCCAGUUCAUGGGGUAUGCAAAGUAUGUGCUUACAUUCAGGAGGAAGCCCAUAAACAUAUGAUGAAGUGAAAGUAGGCAACGAGGUAUGGCCAAUAUGGAGUUCUUCUGAGGUCAGUCUUGAACCCCUACUUGAAACUAAGCAUGGUGGGAAUAACUUAACUAAGUGCAAUGGUGCCAAUAUGGAGUUCUUCUGAGGCAAUCAUUCUCUAGAGGCCAAAAUAGAUGGGUAAUUACAAAAGUUGUAAAUGGAAUAAUGCGUUAUUCCUCUCAUCAUUAUUUUUUGCUAGCCAAAUAUGGAGUUCUUCUGAGGUGGGCUUGGUAAUGGUGAGUCUCCCAUAACCCGCUAAGAGUUCAAUAUAACUCUCGAAUUCUAUUGAGGGAUGUGGAAUUUGCCAAAAAAUAGUGGGUGGUACUAUUUGAUUCAAAGACCCAAUCAAAUAGUUUUAAACAAACAAUCUAAUACGAUUUCUGUUAUGUUAUGUAGUGAACGACAUGCCUAAAAUUAUACCCACCAUUAUACUUGACAAAAGGGGCCUUAAGGGCCAACGUUUCCUUGCUUGGUAUCGCCACAUUGAGAAUGUCUCAAAGGUGAAAGACAUAUUGUAUGUGCUUAAGCAAUCCCCUCCUCAUGUACCUCCUACGAAACUAGCUUCAAAGGAGGAAGUGUCAAAAUUAUGUUAGACACUAUGAGGAAUGACUUACAAGCCAAAUGCUUAAUCCUUACUUCACUUAGUGAGGAGCUUAUGAAGCUACAUAAGCACAUGGACACUUCUUGUGCCAUGGAUUGAAAGUUUGCAUAAGAUGCAUGACAUUGAGACUAGUAAUGUACGAUUCUCAAAUGUUUGUAGUCUAAUGAAUGCCAAGAUGGCAAAAGGGGCAUCGGUCCAUAAACAUGGACAAAAGAUGGAAAAGAUAUUUAAAGAUCUUAAAAGUUUAGGAACUUCCAUCGAUGGGAAAAUGGCCCAAGACUUUUUCCUUGCAUCUCUCUCGGAUGAUUUCACUAAGUUUAUUGUAAACUAUAAAGUGAAUAGAUUCGAUCAUUCUUUGAAAGAGAUGAUUCGACAUGUGCUGUAAAUUUGAAAAAGGUUUCAAAAGGGACAGUGGGAGUGAGAAUGCAAUGAUGAGGAAAAGGUUGCAUAAGAAGAAGGCAAAGAAAUCCAAAGGAACAUGCUUUCAUUGUGGAAAGGAUGAACGUUGGAAGAAGAAAUACAGGGUGCGCAUUGCGAGCCUUAUGACACGAACUUUUGAAGAGACUAUUUCUGUCAUAGAGAGUGCUUUUUACAGUGAGCUCCAAUUCCUGGAUAUUUGAUUCAGGCGCUAGUCAACAUAUCUGCAAUACGUUGCAAGGACUAGCUGGGGAGCAGGAUCACUGCGCAAUGAGGAGAUGGUUGUGCGAGUUGGGAACGGCACUAAAAUCUCUGCAAAAGCAAUAGGCACCUACAUGCUUAACCUACCCUCUGGGGAAGUCCUUGGAACUUAAAAAUUGUUUAUAUUUUCCUUCAUGUAUAAAGAAUUUGAUUUCUAUCUCUAAGCUUUUACGAGAUGGGCACUCAGUAUUGUUUGACAAAAUGAGUUGCACUUUAUACUUGAACGGUCGUAUUAUCUCUCAUGGUAAUAUGAUAGAGGGACUUUUUCACCUAGAGACGAAUAGUGGGAUGCACUGUAUUGAGAGCGGGAAUACCUCAAAACCCAAAAGGGCUAGAGAAGAAGUUAACCAAGAAAAAGAUGUGGCAUCUUAAACUUGGACAUGUGAACCUUGAUAAGAUUCGCAAGAUGUCGAAAGACGGAUAUAUUCGCCCAUUAGGUAAUGACCAAAUGGGUACUUGUGAAUGUUGCUUGAAAGGGAAGAUGACCAAAUCUCCAUUUACUGGAAAAGGAGAACGUGCCACUGAAAUUCUAGGGUUAAUCCACACUGACGUAUGUGGACCUAUGUCUACUACGUCGAGAGGAGGCUUCUCCUACUAUAUCACAUUCACCGACGAUCACUCUCGGUUUGGCUAUGUGUAUCUUAUGAAGUACAAGUCAGAAUCCUUUGAAAGGUUCAAAGAAUUCAAGAAUGAAGUUGAGAAGCAAACUGGGAAACAGAUAAAGACCCUAAGAUCAGAUCGAGGGGGUGAAUAUCUGAGUAACGAGUUCCUAGAUUAUCUCAAAGAGUGUGGAAUAGUAUCACAGUGGACUCCACCAGGAACUCCUCAGCAUAACGGAGUUUCUGAACGGAGAAAUCGAACCUUGAUGAACAUGGUUCGUUCUAUGAUGAGUUCUGCUAAUCUACCAGUAUCAUUCUGGGGAUACGCUCUAUAUACAGCAGCUUACUUGCUUAAUAGAGUACCUUCCAAGUCAGUUUCACAAACGCCAUAUGAGAUAUGGCAUGGCAAAAGCACAAAUCUUAAUCAUAUUAGGAUUUAGGGUUGUCCGGCUUACGUUAAAAGGCUUGAAGCUGACAAGCUUGAAGCAAGAUCUGUUAAGUGCUAUUUUGUGGGGUAUUCCAAACAGACUUUGGGUACGAAUUCUAUAACCCUGACGACAAGAAAGUCUUUGUCGCCAGAACUGCUAUAUUCCUUGAAGAUGAAUUCGUUCUCAAUGGAAGUAGUGAGAAAAUGAUAGAAUUGAAAGAAAUUAAUGAGAUUAAUGAUGAACCACAAACCAGCACUCAACAAGAUGACAACCCUGUUCCUGAACCCCUAGCUCCACGUAGAUCUGAACGGGUUAGUAAGCCACCUAAGAGGUAUGGCUUAGACAAUGACUUUGAUGAAUUGUACCUUAUAGGUGACAAUGAAACAAAGGAGGACCCUAGAGACUACACUAAAGCAAUGUCCGACAUUGAUUCAAAGAGAUGGCAAGAGGCCAUGAAAUCCGAGAUGGAUUCCAUGUAUCAAAAUCAGGUCUGGACUCUUGUAGACCCUCCAGAAGGUAUUGUACCUGUUGGAAAUAAAUGGGUCUUCAAGAGGAAGAUAGGCGUUGAUGGGAACGUGGAGACUUAUAAGGCUAGACUAGUAGCCAAGGGUUACAGGCAAAGAGAAGGGAUUGACUAUGAAGAAACUUUCUCUCCUGUAGCCAUGAUUAAGUCCAUUCGGAUUUUGCUUGCUAUAGUUGCGUACCAUGAUUAUGAGAUAUGGCAAAUGGACGUGAAGACGGCCUUUCUGAACGGCUACCUAGAGGAAGAGCUCUAUAUGACUCAACCCGAGGGUUUCGUGUCCAAGUCUGAAAAGACUAAGGUAUGCAAGCUUCAAAGGUCCAUUUAUGGACUUAAGCAAGCCUCCAGGAGCUGGAACAUUCGUUUCGACAAUGAGAUCAAAACGUUUGGUUUUACUCAAAACGAAGACGACAAUUGUGUUUAUCAAAAGGUCGUUGGGGAUGCAGUUGUAUUCCUAGUGUUAUAUGUAGAUGACAUAUUACUAUUCGGGAAUGACACUGCAGUACUUUCUUCUGUAAAAGUGUGGUUGUCCAAAACCUUCCACAUGAAAGAUUUGGGAGAUGCAUCUUAUGUACUUGGGAUAAAACUCUAUCGUGAUAGAUCCAGAAAAUUAAUUGGAUUAUCCCAAUCUAUGUACAUUGAUAAGGUGCUAAGUAGGUUCCAGAUGGAACAAUCUAAGAAAGGUUUUCUUCCUGUUGGACAUGGAAUUCACCUUUCUAAAUCCAUGGAACCUAAAACUCCUGAAGAGAUACGGCAAAUGAGUUGUAUUCCUUAUGCUUCAGCCAUAGGAAGUCUCAUGUAUGCCAUGAUAUGCACAAGGCCAGAUAUUGCAUAUGCUGUGAGCAUUACUAGUCGAUAUCAAUCUAACCCAGGAUCAGAACACUGGGGAGCUGUCAAGACGGUCCUUAAGUACUUAAGAAGAACUAAGGACAUGUUCUUCGUGUAUGGAGGAGCAUCAGAGUUGCGAGUGGAAGGCUAUACAGACGCAGAUUUCCAAUCUGACAUCGAUGAUAGAAGUUCCAACUCCGGAUAUGUAUUCACUCUGAAUGGUGGGGCUGUCAGUUGGAAGAGCAAGAAACAAAGUGUAAUUGCUGAUUCCACAACAGAGGCUGAAUAUGUCGCUGCAGCUGAAGCCGGCAAAGAAGCGUUCUGGAUGAAGAAGUUCAUCACUGAACUUGGGGUGGUUCCAACCAUUACAUCACCAGUAACUUUGUACUGUGAUAAUAGUGGGGCGAUAGCUCAAGCCAAGGAACCCAGGGCACAUUAAAAGAACAAGCAUAUUGACAGACGCUUCAAUAUCAUUAGAAGAUAUGCUGCCGAGGGGAAAAUCAACAUCCUCAAAGUUGCUUCAGCCGAUAACGUAGCAGAUCCACUGACAAAGCCAAUGUCUCAGAUCCAGCUUGACCGUCAUAUGGAAAAGAUGGGUAUUAGAUACAUGGGAAGGUGGCUUUGAGUGCAAGUGGGAGAUUGUUGGAAGUAUGCCCACAAAGACACUCAUUUGAUGUAAUAGCUUUUUGGAAUACUUAAUGUAUUAAACUUUUAUAUGUUUAAUGAAGGGCAAAUCUUAUUGUUAAUCACUAUUUAUUGUAUCAUGUGUUUAAGCAAUAAGAGAAUCCAAGGAAUGUAUUUGUUCUACGAGAUAAGUGAUCUAAGUGAGUUAGAUUAUCGAGACCUUUCUCUUAUGUUCAUUCCUAAAACGUUCCUAGCCAUAGGAUUGCCAAUUGGGCAUUGACAAUCCGCUAAGGUUAGUAUGUGUUUGUGUUGACUCAAGCGUGAGUAUGACUAGUCUCAAGUCAUUUGGUGUUGGACACUAAGACAAACACAUAGGUGCUCGAAAGAGUAAUCGAGUACACUGAACUACGAUCAAAAGAGAGUUCGAACAUACAUGUCAUGUAUGAACUCUAAAGUUACAAUAUGCAAAGUAGUCCUUUGACCUGAGGCAUCAUCGAUGUCUAAUGGUUAGGUCCUUGAUCUUUCAUCCUGUCAACGGCAUUCCUUUGGAGUGUCCACGGCAUUGUUGGGGUCAAGCUAUCUAGUCAUGUAGGCAUAUGAAUGCACAACAAGGGAUCUCUAACCUUCCUUGGUGGAGGGAGAAUACUCUAAGAUAUGAUUCUAAAGUCUUUGGCCAAAGCAAAUGAAUAUGACUUAGGAAGUUUGUUCCAAAUCAUAUUCAUGGGAAUCAUAUAGGAAAGUAUCACAUUGGAUAGUAGACAUGAAACAAACUAUCACGUAAACAAUGUGAUUAAGAGUAUUGUAUUAGAGAAUGACCGUAUUGCAUUGUAGUUGUAACUAGAUAGGUUCUCCAACCAAUUCUACUUAGCUUGGGUAACCAUGACAUACUGCUAGGUGUCACUCAUGGUUUGUGGAAGCCCAAAUGAUUAGGUAACACUAAUCAUUAAAGGGAGAAUUGAAAUGUGGUUUCAAUUCACAAAUCGAUAGUUAAGAGUAACAUCGCCCACUGCCUCGCUAAUUGGAACCUAAUGGAUCGUACACCGAGUAAGGAUGUAUGUGAAGAAAUCAAAUGAAAUGGAUAAGCAAUUAAAUGGUUUAAUUGAAGAAUGGUCAAAGAUUAAUUAAUUAGUUAAUUAAUUAUACGAAAGGUUCGUAUUGGGCUUAUAUGUUGGUUUUGGGUUUCGGGGCCCAAAGCGUUUUGGUCCACAAGGCCCAUUAUGUUUAAGUUGUAUGACAACUAAAACAAAAUGGGCAAAUUAGCCCAAUAACAAAGGAUGGCCGGCCAUUAGGGUGAAUGGGCAAAGUUUGCUUUAUUACAAGUUUGCCACUCACCAAAGAAAAGGUUAUAAAAGCAACUUUAUAGCUAUUUUCUAAUUAGGGUUUUUCUUGUUGAAAUUGGGUAUAUGGAAAGGUUAGGAAUGUGUAUGGAUAUGGAUAUAUGGAAAGGUUAGGAAUGUAUUUAGGAUUGGUGAAUGUCUCGGCCAAGGGAAGGAAAAUGUAUUUGUGUUUGUGAAAUGUGGGAUUUAUGGAUGUAUGGAUGGAAUGGAUCUCAUGGCAUGGAAAAUGGAAGUGUAUGGAGAUGUGUUUGAAUGUAUGGAUGGAAUGGAAUGGAGCUCACGGCAAGGGACUUGUGUUUGUGAAUGAAGCUCUUUUUUGAUGGAUCAAGAUUGUUCUUAGGAAGGGGAAUGGUGGAUGUAUUUAUAGGCUAAGGAGAGGACCACCUUAAUUCCUUGCAUGUGCAGUUUGUAUGGGUGUGUGAUGUCCAUGUUUCCCUUUACAUUUGCACACACAUGACCUCCAUCAUUUCAACCACAAAACAACCCAUUUUCUGCCCAUGUGUGUGUCUUUCCUUUGCCCAUGUGUAUGUGUUUUUCCUUUGCCCAUGUGUGUGUGUUUUUCCUUUGCAUUUGCACACACAUGUUCUUCAUUAUUUCAACCAACAAUCCACCCAUUUUCUACCCAUGCCAAGCCCUCCAUGCCGUGCCUUUCUUGUUGUGUGUGUGUUGUCCAUGUAGAGUGUGUGUAUGCCCUCCAACCUGUGCAGUUUGCAUGUGUAUAGCUGUCCAUGUUUCUCUUUUGCAUGUGUCGUGCCUUCUCUUUCUAGCUGUGCAUUUCCACUUGCUCCAAAGCCAAAUGAGUGCAAUCAUAACCCCAUUUGCUGCUGAGUGUUGGUGACAAAGCAAAACACAAAACAAGUGCCUUUACUUUCUCAUUUUAUUAGCCAAAUCUGCUUAGCCCUUUUCUGAACCUUUCAGUGUUACAAUGCCCAUAACGUCUUCUAGAAAAAGGAUAUUAACAAUCCGUAAAUUGUUCCAGAAAAUAGAUAUCCAUAGUUUUCCAAGCAUAUAAGGCUCAUUCUCUCAUUCAUUCUAAGCUGUUUGUAACAUGCUUCCAAAGUCAGCUAAUCUGCACAAGCAGUUUUGACGAAUUUGUUACUUAAUAUCUCACUUGUGCUACUUUUCUUUUCUUUGCUUGAUAAAUCACACAAAACAAAAAAAAACAUAGUAAAUAGCUUAAAAAUAUAAGGAACUAACUAAGAAAAGACAAGCGAAUUUUAUGUAAAAUAUAUGUAAAUAUGAGCUUAUCAACAAUGCCAAAUUCAUGGUCCUAUAUAAAGGGUUUCGGCCGAGUCACUACAUUCAGUCACUAAACCAUGGCCGUUCAGAUGAUGGGCCAUGGAUGCAAUCGGUAAAAUUACGCCAUCUUCCGGGUCUGCAAAGCGUGCGUGGAUAUUUGUUGCGACGGACUACUUCACCAAAUGGGUCGAAGCGAAGUCAUAUGCCAAAUUAACGUCUAAAGAAGUUUGUAAUUUCAUAGAAGAAAGCAUCGUGACUAGAUUUGACGUACCGGAAACAAUCAUAAUAGAUAAUGGUACAAUCUUCACGUUCGAUAGGUUUAAAGAGUAUACAGCGAAUUUGAAAAUUUGACCUGAGUAGUCUACGCCAUAUUACCCGCAGGCAAACGGGCAGGCCGAAGCAAGUAAUAAAGUUUUGAUUGGUAUUCUUGAAAAAAUGGUGAGAGAAAGGCCUGGUAUAUGGCAUCUAAAGUUAAAUGAAGCGUUAUGGGCCUAUUGAACAUCUCUCCGGUUAGCCACUGGAACGACUCCAUACGGGAUGACUUAUGGACAUAACACAAUGUUGUCGGUCGAGCUAAGUGUAAACUCGUUGUGAGUAAUCGUACAAAGUUAGAAGAUUUAGAGUCGAGCCAUGAGACAAGAGUUAGAAGAUUUAGAAGAAGCUCGACUUGAUGCUUAUAACUUAUUAGUGGCAUAAAAAAAGAUCGCUGAACGAGCUUAUAAUCAACGGGUCAGACAAAAAACGUUCGGUGAAAGGGAGUUUGUUUGGCAAACCGUACUACUCGUAGGAAUUAAAGACCCUAAGUUCGGCAAGUGGUCACCGAAUUGGGAAAGGCCAUUUGUUAUUAAUCAAGUUCUCGACAAUGAGGCAUACCAUCUUAGGGAUCGAGCUGGUGUAAUUCACAAGUUGCCAAUCAAUGGGAAGUUUUUAAAGAAAUACUAUCCAGUCACAUGGGAAAUGCGAGAAUAAAAGUUCAUUUCAUUAAAUUUACAAAAUGAUGUACAAAUAAAGUUGGUCAAUCAGUUUACAAAUGAAUAAUUAUAAGGUGAUGAAGGAAUGAGAGAUUCAAGAACGGCCUUCAACUCCAACCACCUCACCUUGCCCAUGGUGACCUCAGCUUGCCGAUUCCUCUUAUCCAUCUUCAGUUGUUCGACCCGCUUCACGCUAGCCACAUAUUCAGUUAAGCAAGAUUUACCGCUCAACUCAAAAUCCUUUACAAGCUCAAAAGCAACUGCUGACCUUUGAUUUUGGAGUUUAACAAUUUGACAGUCAAGGUUGGCCAGCGUUUCUUUCUUUGCCUUCAAAACUUCGACCUUUGGACUUGAACGGCCAUUGCAGCUUUCAAGUCAUUUUCGGCUCGAAGAGCUUUCUUGAAAAUACCAAAGUAUUCUCAGGUUCGUUCUAGGGUAGAAGACACUCGAGUGAUGGCUUUAGUGCUUAAUUGACUUUUAGCUGCAAGAUCAUUCAAGCAUGCACCCACAGAAUCGAGACCCUGGCGUUUGAGAACCUGUGAAGUCGAUAGAGACAAGAGCCCUUACAUUCUAAUAAGAGCAUUUGAUUCGGCCGUCGGUACGGAAGACCAGGUUAUAGCUAUCGAAGGGCCAGCCCGUGCCGAGGUAUUCAAAAGAAGAACAUCGAACUCGACUUCGCAUAAAGGUUGCACACGAAAAGAAUUUAAGCAAAAGGAAAACAUAAAAGAAUAUAGCAGAGAGAAUUUGUUUUUAAACCUGCCCAAAUGAGACUUUGGCCAUGUCUCCUGGUUCAUUGCUUGAACCUAGAGAGCUUAAUAGCCGAGCCCAGUGUUUUAGACUGCUUCUCAAUUCACGCGGCUAAUGAAGGUUAUCUACAUUUGACGGCCACUAAAAUGGCCAGGAAAUAUAGAUAACGCCCUUCGGCGUAUAAAAUUUUCAGUGAAAUGAAUAAUUGGGCACCUAAUGAAUGGAAAAUUAUGAGUUUAACACAUGGGAUUUCUAAAUGACUAGCAUGCAUAUACAAUUCAAAAUUUAUAUACAUGAGCAACGGAACCAAUUUAUCAAAUAAUAUCAAAGCUAUAGUCAUGCAAAUCCCCGUCAAGGUUCAUAGGUUUAUAUAUAAUGCAUCAAAACAUUUUAGUAAAGAACAAAGUGUAGGUUUAGUCUUAUACCUUUUGAUCUAGACUUGAGACCAAGGAUGGACCACCUCCAAGCCCUUUGUUCCUUGAAGUCCUUGAGCCUAGCCUCCCUCCUUGCCUCCUCCACUUUGUUAGUAAGAGUGCUCCAAGGUUCUCCUUUAGUCUCCAAAGGAGAAGACCUCUAAAUAUCCACACCCACUAGUGUAGUGAGAUGGAUGGAGGAAUAACCAAAAGGGUGAAAGAUUGUUAGUUAAAACACCCUCUAGGUGGCCGGCCUUUGUGGUUUUAGAGAGAUAUAUUCUUUUGCCUCUUUCUUAUUCAAAAACACACAAAAACCCUAAGGAUUAAAACUCUAUAAAUUUCCUUAUAUAGACAAAAAGAAACCUAGUCAACAACUUGACUAAAUAUCUCUCCCUCUCCACUUGCAAGGGCCGGCCCCUUUAUGUUGGUUUGGGCUUUGGGCUUUUAUUUAUUUCUAGUCAUCCAAUGCUUGAAUAAAAGCCCAAUGGGUUUAGGCCCAAUGGGCCCAAUUAAACCCGAACGUUUCUUUAAGCCCAAAACAAUCUUUUAUCGCUUUUAUGAUUUCUUUAGACUUUCUAAAUUAAUCACAACACUUAAUUAAUCCAAUUAAUUAUUUCCAUCAUCCAUUAAUUACUCACUACAAGAGUGUAUCGGUGUACAAUCAUUUUAGGUUCUAAUUAGCAAGGCAGUGAGGUGAUUGACAUCAAUUCAAAUGAUUAUAUUUAAUCCAAUCACUUAGUGAAUUAAAACUUCAUUUUAAUUCACCUUUCUUCUUUGAUGACUACAUUUAAUCAUCUAGAAGAACUCACAAGCUAUGAGUGACAUCUAACCAUAUGUCAUAGCUACCCAAGCUAAUGUAGAAGUUGUUCGGAGAACCUAUUCAGUUGGAAUUACAAUGUAAUUCGAUCCUUCUCUAAAACAAUACUCUCAAUCACAUUACUAGGGUAUGGAUAUAUUAUGUCAAACCCCUAAUGUGAUUAUUCCUUCUUAUAUGAUUCUAUUGAGUCGUAUAGGAACGCUUUCCUUUAUUACGCUCGAUACUUCGGCUGAAGAUUCCCGAAUCAUAUCUUAGAGUAUUCUUCCUCUCUUACCGAGGAUUAGAGAUUCCUUGUUGCGCAUUCACUUGCCUUCAUGACUAAGUGGCUUAACCCCAAUUAUGCCUUGGACAUCCGCGAAUGGGGUGACUUUGACAUAAUCAAAGAUUAAGUACUUGCCACAAGACAACGACGAUGCCUCAGGUUAAAGGACUACUUACAUUAUUCCAACCAUUAGAGUUACUUGCUUGACAUGUGAGUAGACCUCCAUGCAAGUACU
rnacentral:lncRNA from 1 species